UAUUUAGUUACUAUAUUAAACAUACCUCCACAGAAGCUCAAAAAUGAAAAUAGUCUCCUAGUAACAAACAGAUAUUAUCAAAGAAUGACAACACAUGUUCGUGAUUUCCUUUAUAAUGAUGGUUUUUCAGUGAAAUUAAUCCAUUCACAAAUUAUGCUUGACAAAUACAAAAUGAGCAGCAUAGCAAUGGUUUCACAGCAGAAAGGUUCAAUUGCACACAAAGCGCAGAAGCAAGUUUCGAAAUAAGAAAUAUUGGUCAUUGAUUAAAGGAAAAGAUACAAACAUCUUGUGCCAAUAUUUAGUUAUUAUAUUAAAUAUACCUCCACAGAAAUAAAAAAAUGAAAUUAUUCUCCAAGUAACAAACAGAUAACAUCAAGGAAUGACAAAACCAGCACGGCUUUGCUAUCUAAUUAAGAAGGAAUGCAGCAUUAAGUGAACAAAAUCACUUUGCAUAACAAAGAGUUUUGCCAGUCGACAACAUGCAAAAAGGACUAUGUUCAAUAACAAUGUUGCAUUCUUCUUUGUUUUUUUUUGUUAGUUUUUCUUCCAGUUGUUUUAACAGGAACUUUUUCAUUCUUUACCAAGCAGGGAAAACCAGCCAAUUAUUUGAUAAACUGCUUCCAUCAAGCAAUCAAUGAAGAGUAGUACACAACAAAUUUGUCUAACACCAGUACUACAUCAGAACUUCUACCCUAGCAGUCCCUCAUUUAGUUAGUUAGUUUUUCACAUAUGAAGUUCUACACCUCCAAAGAAAAGAAGAAAAGCAUAUUGACAUUACUUUAUGCUAACUAACAGUUUUAUUUUUACUACAUUCCUAUACCUUAUCUAAAUCUUAUUCCUUUACUUUUUGAAUGAUCAUUCACCAAGGCUGUAGCGAUUAAGGUAGAUUUACAAAACCCUCCGUAUGUUUUACUACUGGGAAAAUGCAUUAUUUUGAAAAUAAAAUAGUUCCAAUUUACCCCCUUCUCUAGUAAUAUAUAUCGUAAUUUCCAGUGCCAGAAUAACCAGGUUCGCAUGUUAUUAUUGAAGUGAAGUCAUGGGACUUUUCAAGACUGUAUGAGUAACUAAGCUCACUUUACAAUCAGAAAUAUGACACAAAUAAAUACACAUCCUGAUUCAGAACAAACACAUUAAACAUCACAUAGAAACAAGGAACACAUACAGCUGUAUAACAAUAUUGGGGGAAGCAGGAAUGUGCAUCGAAACAUUAAAUAAGAAAAAUAAAGCACAAAAAGAGGUAUACCAAUUACAACAUCAUCUAGAAAAUUAAAGCAUACAACAGGGGUUUAAAUACACGAACAUGUUAAAGAUUUGUGUCUGCUAAUCCUACACUUGGCAACAUAUCCAUACACUUCAGAUAAAUUAAUAACUAAUUUGAAAUGAUAAAAUACCGUAUUCCCUGGUUGCUCCACUGUGCAAGAAUCCCCUUAGAGACUUCAGUUCCAAAUACCAUAGCAAACAAUUGAUUAGCUUCUUCCGGUGAAAGUUCCUUACUCAAAUUCACACUCUUCAAACGAAACUCCUCUCUCCUCCCCAAUUCACCACUUUUCUUCCCUGGUGGCAACGAUGAUGGCAAAACCCUCACCGCCGCCGCUAUCCGCUUCUCCGCCGCCGCCGCCAUGAGCUCCCUCCGCCGGGUCUUGGACUCCGGCGAAUCUUCCGGCGAUUCCGAAACCGCCCCGGCGGCGGCAUCCUGCGGCUUGCUGCGCUUCGUCUCCGGCGUCGCGCGCUGCAUGCUCAUUCGAAUCGCCAUUUGCAAAUCCUCGUCCUCUCCUCGAUCCCCCAUUCCUGAACGGAUCAAAAACUUCAAUACCAAAACCACGCAAAGACAGAGGAACCCUAGAAGAAUUAUUUUUAGGGAUCCGUUUCUCGGCGAUCGAGAAUCGAAGCUUCUGGAAUCGAGUGUUUUGCAAAAUCGAACUUCGAUUGGGGCGAAUUGGAAUUGGUAACGCAAGGGAGGGGCAAAAGUGGAAAUGAAUUUGUGAGAGGGUGGCGACGACAAUUGCGGGUUUUGGCGGGGGUGAGGCCCCGACCGUAGCGUGGAGUGGGUGAAAACGGUGUCGUGUGAGGAUGAAUCUUUGUAGUGGUAUUAUACGCGUAAUGACUGCGAGGCCCCUCGGUGAAAGAUUCGCGCAGUGGUAGAGUGAGUAAUUUCAGUGAAAGUUGAGGGUAGUGUGGGGAAAUAAACAUUGAAAAAUUGAUUGUGCAGAUUAUAAGAGAAGCCACCGGCGAUACUUUCCUUUAACUAAGAGCAAACAAAAAGCGCUUCUGCUUUACCUAUUCAGAAAAGGGAGGAAUAUUAACAAUUUUUCUUAAUUAUUGCUUCUUCUUUCUAAAUUUUAUCCUCCUUUAGUUCAAUUUUUACUUUCAUUUUAAUGUAUUUUUAAACAAAAUAUAUUUUAUAUAUAUUCUAUGACGUCAAAACUUAUAUUUCAUUCCCAUUUUUUACUACAUAAAAACACAUUUAAGAAAAUAACAUAAAGUAUUUAGAAGUAAUUUACGUCAUAUUAACUAUUAUAAUGUUAGUCAACCACAGAUUAUCAUAUACAAUAACUUAUUUUUUAAUUUAUUUUCAGAAGUUUAUUUUUUUAAAUAUAAAGAAAACAGAAAAACUAAGGCAUUAACUAGGCAGUGAUAUGUUUGUUAUUAAGAUGAUGGUGAUUGCGUUGGAUUGAGUGGCAGCGAAGAAGGAGGGUUUGUGAUAGUUAUUUAUGUUACAGUGACAAAAAAACGUAGACUUACAGUGACAGAAGAAAGUGACACUAAAGAGGAUGUGUGAUAAAAAAACAUGAAUAGGUGACCCCACAGGAGAAGAAAGGACAGGUGCUAAUGCUAGGGUUUGCAACCAUUCGAUCCUUCUACUUUUAAUCUGAUGGUUGGUGGUUUUUGUCACAUUCUUUUUUUUUUAAUUUCUUUUUUUCUAUUUCCCAUUUUUAUUAUGAUGGUUAUGGAGACUCACAUGAAACUUAUAUGAUGGUUUUUGUCACAUUCAUUUUUAAUUUUCAAUGUUUUAUGCAUUUAAAUUUUGAAUUGCAAAUUAUUCAAAUAAAAUAAACUCUUUUUAAUUUAUUUAUAUAUACUUAAUAAUACAUUUGAUUUAAGAGAAUAAAAAGCGAUUAUUGAUUAUUUUCUUAAACAUUAAUUUUUUACAUGAUAAAUUCUUCCUCCGCCUUAUAAAUUGUGAUUUGCAUUCCAAUGCAUCUUGAAAUUUUCAAAAUUUCUUUCAUUUUGGAACUAAAAAUUCAAAAUUAAAAGAAUACAUUAUGAAAAAGUAAAUUUAAAAUAGAUUUUGUGUUUGAAAAUAGAAUUCUAGAAUAAAAUUGAAAAAUCAAAAUUUUAUUUUGGAAAAAUAAUUCUAGAAUAGAAAAUAAUAUAUUCUAGAAAAUAAAUUCCAAAAAACAAAAUAUUUAAAAAUGUAUUUUGAAAAGGGGAUUCUAGAAACUAAAAAUGCAAGUUCAAAUUUUGUCAUGUGCAAAAAAAGUAAUUGCCUUACGCACUCAAAAUUGGCAUUUUAAAUAAUAGCUACACUUGGAAUGUUAUUUAACAUAGUAAUAUGGAUCACUUAUUUCACAGAAUAAUUAUUCCAAUCAAUGGCAAUCAAUAUAUAUAAUUAAUAUAAUCAAUGUAAUUAGUAUCAAAAGAAAAUAUUAUCCAAGUGAAAUCAAUUAAAUACUAUAUCUUAUUAGUGAAAAUGCAAACUACAUUUCUACAGUUUUUUAUUAUACUAAAAUUGUAAGGAUCUAGAAAAUAACCUUAGAGUAGAAGUGAUAUAUUUUAAAUGAUACCUGAAUAUUUUAUUAUUAAAAUGAAAAUGACAUAUAAAUAGAAAAUUCAGUUAUUCAGGUUUCAUUUUAAAAUAACCACCAUCUCUCUAAAAGUUUCCCUUUUCAUUUCUCUCCCUUCUCUCUAAGAUUCUGACCUCCUCGUUCAUCUGUUCGACGAUCAGAGUACGCCAUUAGACUCCUGGCAGCAAAGACUACAAGACUGCCCGAUCAAAAUCUAGAGUAAGUUUAUUUUCGUACCCUUUUCCUUUCCUCUCCUUCUCUCUAUGAUUCUGACAUCCUCAGCUAUCAGUUUGACGAUCGGAGUCUGCCAUUGAACUCCUGCCAAUGAACUCUACAAGAUUGCCCGAUCAAAAUCCUAAAUAGAGUAAGUUCAUUUUUGGCCCUUUUCUUUGAGUCAAAUUUUGAACUUGAUAGGUUGUCUACAUGAGUUUUACAUGUGACUCUUUUAGCUUUAGGUUAAUCUCUGUUAACUCAAGGUCCUAGUUAUAUAGUUAGAUUUUGAUUAGGACUCUGUGGUGCAGGUUAAUUACUUUAAGCUUUUGGGUAGGUUUGGAGCUCUUGGUGAGCAUCAACUAAGUUCAUGUAAGGGAAGCUAGUCUUAUUAUUUUCAAUAAAACCCUAGGUUAGAAGAUUCUGGAUGUGGAGGUGACGUGGUCACCAAUUCUAAUUGUUUUGCUUGCAGGAUUGUCUCUCUUGAAGAGUAAAGUAAUAUAUUGACUGGAAUGGUUGAUUUUGAAUCUGUUAUGGGAAUAAUUUGUUGAAAACUGUUUGUGAUUGAGAAUUGAAAGUGUUGUGUGAUUUCAGAUGAUGAUUGAUUUAAAGAGNNNNNNNNNNNNNNNNNNNNNNNNNNNNNNNNNNNNNNNNNNNNNNNNNNNNNNNNNNNNNNNNNNNNNNNNNNNNNNNNNNNNNNNNNNNNNNNNNNNNNNNNNNNNNNNNNNNNNNNNNNNNNNNNNNNNNNNNNNNNNNNNNNNNNNNNNNNNNNNNNNNNNNNNNNNNNNNNNAUUGUUAUUAGGGUGUAUUGAUUUGUGAGUGUCCUGUGAAUGAGACGAUCCUGACUCUACUGAUAUAAUGGAAUCAAAUAGAUGAAGUUAUUCAGUUGGUGAGAGUCGAAGGAGGUCCAUUGGCUGAUUCUGAGGUUUGAAAGAACUGAUCAGAGCACAAAUGGAUUUACCCUGUCAUAUGAAGAUGAUGAGAUAUUGAGAUAAUUAUGUGCAUGGCGGUGUGGGUUUCACAGCAGUAGUAUGACAGGUGCAGGUCUCUGGAUGCUAAUUUCAAUACAUAAGUCUUCCGGAAGUAGAGUCAAGUGUCUAUGUGUUGUGAGUCAGUAAAAGUCUGGAUGAAUUUUAUGNNNNNNNNNNNNNNNNNNNNNNNNNNNNNNNNNNNNNNNNNNNNNNNNNNNNNNNNNNNNNNNNNNNNNNNNNNNNNNNNNNNNNNNNNNNNNNNNNNNNNNNNNNNNNUGUUAUUUGUUUGUGUUUGUUUCUUUAUCUGUGAUGAUCGUGUUUUACAUGGGAGCAGAUGAGAUUUCAGGUGAUAGAGCUCCUUAGUGAACAGCUGGAGAAUGAGAUAGUUUUAUUGGAAUGUUUUGUUUUGUUGUUAAAACUUUUUAUGUAUAUAUAUUAAAUCCCUAUGAAGAGGGAUAUUUCUUUUGAGAUACACAUAUGAGAAAGUAGUAUAUGUUAUUUGUAAUUAGAUAUUGCUUGUUUUACUUUUAUUACAUUAUAUAUGGGUAAAAUUAAGGAUGUUACAAAAAUAGUGUAUCUUUAAAAAGCUUUAAAAAAAUGGGUAAUUUAAAAAUAAUAAUUUUGAAAUAAUUGUGUGGAGGAAGAAAAAUAAAGGAUACUGCAAUAAAGCAUAUCCCACUUUAAAAUCAUUAAACAUUUACCGUUAUUUUCUUAGUAGAAAUAUUAAAUGCCUAAUUUUAAAUAAAGAAGUGGUAGUGUCACCAAUUUAAAUUAAUAUCAAAUAAUAAAAUAUUUUUUUCGUUAAAUACACAUUAAACUUAGUUUUAGUCCUGUAACUUGGAAAUUGAUAGAUUAGUCUUUAAACAUUAAAAUAAUAUAAAAUUUCACUAUUUAAUCAAUUUUUAAUUUUGUGAUUAUAAAAAGUGGUCAAUAAAUGUUAAAUAUAGUCGACUUAUCCGGUAUUUUUUUUAUUGGAUUGUGGUUUGUUGUUCGGUAUUUUUUGGUCGUGGGUGUGUAUUACAAUUCCUAUCACAUAGACUUGUAUAUAUCUCUUUUAAAUAAAUCUUAAAUUCUAAAUUCAAGUAGAUAUUUAAUUUUUUUUUAUAAAAAGCAAUAUACAAAAUGAUGGGAUAUUUUUUUUAACAUGGAUGUAUAAGAUAUCUAAAAUGUAAAAACCUUUAUUUAGUAUAAGAAAAUACCACAAAAAGUUUCAGAAUUUUAUAACAAAUAUAGGUAGGUAAACUAAAUGCUUAAAAUAUAAAAAAAUUGCCUAAAAAUAUUAAAAAAUAGAAAAUUAGUGGUAUAAAUGAAGGGAUUUUGAAGAUUUUGGUAUUGACUAGAAAUUCCAUUAAUUUCUCAUUCCGAUCAACAUCCAUUCUUAUUGUGUUUCAAAAGUUACUACCAAAUUUUUUAAUCUUAAAAUUUAUGAUUAUUCUAUUAAAUUUAAUGAUUUACUAUUUUUUAUAUAAUGUAAUAAUUACUUUUCUGAAUUUUUAGUGUAAAUAAAAUAUACUAUUUAUAUAAAUAAUAUUUAUUUAAAUAUUUAUUACUUUUAAAUAUUAAUAAAUAGUUAUAAUUUUUUAAAAUUAUUUACGGAUGAAGAGUUUUAUACCUAUAAUUUCUUCUUCUCUGAUAAAUUUUGUAUUUUAGAUAACUUUAUUGAUGGAAGAUUUAAAUGCUUGCUUAACAAUGGACAUUUAUGUCGGUAGCGUGUCAUAAAGUUAUUUCCUCCAUUCGACAUGAAUUUUUAGGAGGAAGUUACUAUUAUUUAAUUUAUUCAUGAAUAUUUAAUUUCCCAAUGAAUAUAGGUCGAUAACUUUUAUGUGGAAUAAAAUUUCUUUAACAUUCUAAUAUAGCAAAAACUAAUUAUUUUACAACUUUUUUAAAAUAAAAUAUUACAUUAUAAUAAAAUAGCAAUUUUUUUUAUGUCAAAAGGGAAGUGUCAAGUUAUUAUUAUCUUAUUUUAUGUAAUUCGUCCGGAGAGUGUGUGAUGGAAAUAUUAUGUAAUAUCUUACAUGAUUUCAAGGAUUUUAUGCAGCAAAUUAAAGUGAUGCAACAAAUUUUUAUCAUUUCAUGUUGGUGCAAACUAAUACACAUAGAGCUCUCCUCUUGUUCAAAAAAACGUGUCUAGCUCUAUAUAUUACAUUAAAGAUUCUUCAAUUUAGGAUGAAUGAAAGUUUUUUUUUUUAUGUAAGAGAACUUAAAGAAACAAAAUCUGUAAAAUAAAAAGGAGAGAAAUAACGAAAAGGCAAAAGAAAAAUAGUUUUGUUGAAUAGGAACUGACAAUUGAUGUUAAUUAAGUGUAAAAAUGGUGAAUUAUAGAAAGUAAAUGGUUUUGAGCAAUAGAAAUGGAGUUCUUUGUCCUUCAUUUUGUAAAAUAAUUAAUAGAAAUGAGAAAAAUAUAAUUAACGUGGAUGGAAUGUGGAUAAAACGGAGAUUUUUUGUAAGGUUUAGAAUGGUUAUUGGAAACUAGAGAGAAGAUUCAAAACAAAACAAAACAAAAGAAGAGAAGGUGCAUCCACAUAUAAUCAUAUAAUGUAAGAUAAAACGUUGUAGCGUACCUGAAAUUUGCAUGGUGGUGUCUUGUCGUGUCGUGCAUGACGACGAAAAUCGUUAUCCGCCGCUAUCACCUCUGGCUCACCCUCUCCCUACGCCUUCCACGUGUCACCCCAAGCUUCCUUUCCCCACAGAUAAUAUCAUAUCUCUUUCUCUUUCUCCAUAUUCAAAUAAAAAACUCAUAUGUACAUGCAGUGUUGAAGUCAUCAUCAUCACUUUGAGGGUUCGUGAAGAGUGAAAGAUGGAUCACAGUGCGGAUGCUCAACGCACAGACUUGAUGACCAUCACCCGUUUCGUGCUGAACGAACAGUCCAAGCAACCUGAGGCUCGUGGCGAUUUCUCAAUCUUGCUCAGUCACAUUGUUCUCGGCUGCAAGUUCGUUUGUUCUGCUGUUAACAAGGUUAUUCUUUCUUAUACUCAUCAUUUCAUUACCACGCAUGCAUCUUCAACGUAUAUGCAUGCCACCGUUUCAUUUGAUCCACUUCAAACAAGUACUACCUCUAUAUAUAUGUAUGUGUUCAUAGCUGAAUCUAGCAACCAUAUAUAUCUCACUCUUUUUUAUCAAACACCCAAUAAUAUGCUUGACAUAUACAUGCCCAAGAUUUAUUUUACUUGAUUUUUUGUGAAUGGGUUAUUGUAUUUGUAGAUAUGCAAAUUUUAGUAAUAACAAUUGAUUAUGCAGGCGGGUCUUGCUAAGCUUAUUGGACUUGCUGGAGAGACAAAUGUCCAGGCAAGUGUUUGAUACAUAAAUCUUAGUUAUGCAUAUUAUUCCAGCAUGGUAACUUUCUAAUGUGUGAUGAUUUGAUCCUCUUUGAUUAUUAUUUUUUAUUUCUGAAUUUGUCUCUUAAUUAUCUGGAAUGAAGGGUGAGGAGCAAAAGAAACUGGACGUCCUUUCCAAUGAUGUCUUUGUCAAGGCUCUGGUCAGCAGUGGACGAACAGUAAGUCAUCAAUGUGUGUUUUGGCGUGUCUUCUACUGCUACUACCAGCUGCCAUCCCUCUCUCUCUCUCUAUAUAUAUAUGUGUGUGUGUGCGCAUAUUUGUUGAUGGUUUGAAAUAUUUUUGCAGUGCAUCUUGGUGUCUGAAGAAGACGAGGAAGCAACAUUUGUGGAGCCUUCUAAGCGUGGAAAGUUGUUAACCUAUCUAUAAUCUAGUAGUGUUUCUUCCCAACUGAUUAUUUAGCCUUGGUUUUCCCGAGUCUAAUCAGUUAGUACGAAAUUUUUUUAUUGUGCAGGUACAUUGUUGUUUUUGAUCCGCUGGAUGGUUCCUCUAACAUUGAUUGUGGUGUUUCCAUUGGCACAGUAUGAUCUCUUCUCUGAAAUGCAAUCCAUGUUUUUCUCUUUUCCAUUACACACACACAUUAUAUACCACACGAAUGGGUGAAUUAAUAGUAGUCCAGAUUAACUAGAAUAUUGCAGUUGUCAAUUGAGUGUGUUGUGUUCCAUUUAGAUUUUUGGGAUUUAUUUGGUGAAAGAAAACGGUGAACCAACCAUAGAAGAUGUUUUGCAACCUGGGAAGAACAUGUUGGCUGCUGGUUAUUGUAUGUACGGAAGCUCUUGCACGGUAUGGUAAAUUAGGUCCCAGUUUAUAUUUCUGUCUUUUUUUCUCUCAGACAGUUUCAAUUUCUUCUCUUUUGGUCAUCUUAUUACGCUGUUUAUGAUAAUUUUUUAAGGGAGGUAUAUAAGUUACUGAUCAAUUUUUACUAAGCUAGAUACCUGUACAUUAUGACGGUAUGAAUUUUUGUAUUUACUUAACUAUUUUUACAUGAAAGGAUAAGGUCAGUUUCUUUUGUUUGUUUGUUUGUUUGUUUUCCUGUGCACCUGUGGACUGAGUUGUCGUGUGCUUUAAUUUUAAUUCAUUCCAAAAUUAUAAAAUUUUCUAAUCACUAUUUGGGGUAUUUUUACAGUUUGUGUUAAGCACUGGAACUGGUGUUAAUGGUUUCACCCUUGAUCCAUCUCUUGGAGAGUUCAUUCUAACUCAUCCUGACAUCAAGGUAUUAAUCUACCAAUUCAUCAAUAAGUAUUGCACAUUGCUAUUCUGUGUAAAUGCUCUUUCCUGGCAGGAUUUGAUCUCCUAAAAAAAUCUCUAUUUUGGAAGUUGUAUUUCCUGUUUAAACCUUUUGUAGUUAAGUAUCUAAGACUAUAUCCAUAUGCUUUACAAAAAAUCGUUCUUGUAGAGUUUUGUUGUUGUCAAAGAACAACUGAUUGAGCAUUUGUGGCUGUGACUGAAUGGCUUCUCUCAGUUAUUUGUCUAUCUUUUAAUGUGAACAUAGUGAAUAAGUUGUCAUACAGAGUUUAAAGAUUAAGGGUAUGAAUGAUCUUUACUGAAGCAGUCUGUGGCAUACUAGAGUCAUGUUAAUUGCUUGAUCCAUGGUUCACCAUUCAGGUCCCGAAGAAAGGGAAGAUCUAUUCAGUGAAUGAAGGAAAUGCUAAAAACUGGGAUGGUCCUACUACCAAGUAUGUAUAAUCCAAUAGUGUUAAAAUGAUUCAGGCACUACAAGGCAACUUUUUAGUUGUGACACUUUUUCCUUUCUUACUUCUGUCCAGGUAUGUGGAGAACUGCAAGUUUCCAAAAGAUGGUUCAUCACCAAAGUCCCUAAGAUAUGUUGGAAGGUAUAGAAACUAUAGUGUAUUCUCAGUGCUCCAAGAGUAUAGCAUGAUUUGAUAUAUAGUCUGAUUAAAUACCUUCAAAAUCACGGGGACUACCUCAAAACCAUGUUAAAAGCACAAUUUUUUUCCAGAGCAACAAUGUGUUGCUUCACAUUCACCAUGAAAUUGAAAUUGAUUUGGAUUCACUUCAUUACCACCCCAAACACACUAUUAGUCCUCAUAGUUUGGCUCUGCAAACAUCUACCACGAAAUAACUAAUCCUUUAAAUGGGUAUCAUUUUUCAUUUUGGUCAAAAUAGAUCUUAUAUGAUCAUUCAUCACCACAAAGCUCCUAAUUAUGGUAAACAAAGUUAACACUUACUUACUCUCAACUCUAGUAAUGCAGAGUUUUUAGUUCCCUUUUCUUUUUAGUUGAAAGUGUUCAUAUUUUGUUCAGCUACUUGACUCAUAAUAACUAAAGCUCAACAGGGUAAGGGUAACCUUUUUCUUUGUUUAGAAUUGUAAAGAAACAUACCUACGAAUGACUUAUUUAUUAGAUUUUUUUUAUUAAAAAAUGUAAUAAGAUCAAUAGCAGCAACUGCUAAAUGUAAUAGUGGAGUGUUCUAGAUAAUUUGUCUAUGGAUUAUCAUCAUAAAAAUAUUGUACCUAGAUGUGGCUACUGAAUGACUGACUCAAAUGUUUGGUGACCUUCAACAAAAAGCAUAUUUGAUUUUUUAUGACAUUGCUUUGUCUGUAUUUCUAUCAUUAACAGCAUGGUAGCUGAUGUUCACCGCACAUUUCUUUAUGGAGGUAUCUUUCUGUACCCGGCUGAUAAAAAGAGUCCAAAUGGGAAACUUCGGUAUGUCAUGUUCAAUCAAUCACUACCUCAUUUCCUGAGUAGCAUAUCCAAUAUUACUACACUGUUAAUGGUUUAACUGAAGAAAUGAUUGUAGAGUUUUUCUUUGAUUGCUGCAGUGUACUCUAUGAAGUCUUCCCAAUGUCAUUCUUGAUGGAGCAAGCAGGAGGACAGGCUUUCACUGGCAAGCAAAGGGUAAUUUACCAAAAACAGUUGUUAAAUUCCCCCAUUCAAUAUGUUUGGACCAAGGUUUUGAAUUGUCUGUGCUUGCACUUUCGUUGUGGUUCGGUCACAGUUGGUCACAUUGCAUUUGCAAACACUGUCAACAAAUUUUAUGUCGCAGAAGAAAUUGCAGUCACAAACCUUUUCUGUCAAGCUUGGUUUAUCUAGACUAAAAUUCUCACUAGUCCUUUUUCUGUGAGUGGAAAAAUGAAAAUAUGAUACAAAUAGUACAUUUAAAAACAAACAUAUCAUUCUAAUAUAAUAUAAAAAUACUAUUAGCACAGGGAGAAGCCCUGCAUAAGUAAUGAUGAAGUUGUGCAGCAGAAAUUUGUGUCUUCUUUUUUCUUCUCUGAUAACAUUAUGUGAACAGGCACUUGAUUUGGUUCCAACAAAAUUGCACGAGCGAUCUCCCAUAUUUCUUGGAAGCUAUGAGGAUGUGGAGGAAAUCAAGGCCCUUUAUGCUGCUGAUCAGACACUGGAAUGAAUGAAUGAAAAAGCAUAAUUCUUUGUCUUUUCCAACUUACAAUCAAUUCUCAUCUAAUUGUUGCACAGAUACAUGGUCAUGUAUAUGUUAAGAAAGCUUGUUAAUGUUUUGUGAUUUACAAAAAUUAGUUUAUUACUCCAUAUCUAAAUAUUUUACAAUUUAAAAAUUUUAAUAUUAACGAUUUUAAUUUAUGUAGAUAGUUUUAUGAUGAUUUCUUAAUAAUUAAUCUAGUUAAAUUGUAGUUUUGUUUUUCUAAAUCUAUAACCUUUUAUAUUUGACAGGAUUUUUUUAAUUUCUCAAUAUUGAUAUGAUUUUAAUUACUAGAUAUAUUUUUAUAUGUUGAUAUUCUCUUGUAAACUGGUAUGAUAUGUUAGUGCUUGUUUAUUAUAAAUUAUUGUGAAAAUUCAUGACCCCUGGGUUCCCUUAAUAAAUAAAUUUAUACUAGGAUUUAAAACACCUAACAUAAUUUAUAGUAGAUUUUAAUAAAUUUUAUAUAUUUAUUAAAGACAUUUUUAUAAUGAUUUUUAAUGGAAGUAUACUAAUAGGAUUUUUUGUUUCAUAUAUAUAGUUUCUUUUUAAAGUCAUGGAUAAUGAGAGUGAGAAGCAAUUUUACUUAUCUUUAAAGGGUAACAUUCAAUCAUCAAUUAUAUUAAAUUUAUUAAGUCCUACACAUUAACUUAGUACACUUCAGUUUAAAUUAGAUGAAGUAUUUACUUGAUAGAAAAUAUGAGAAACUUUUUUAUUUUAAUGAAAUGUCUAAAUAAUGUUAAUUUACCUUGAAUUUUAGAUAAUAUUUUUUUUAACUAAAAAAGUCAAAUAUGUAAGAAGAAAAAAAAAAUCUCGAUAAGUUAUAUUAAUAUACUUUCACAAGAGAACAUUAACCAAUUUGUUUAUAUUCAGAUUUUUAUAAGACUCUCACAAGAAAACUAGAUUAUACAUCUUAAACUCUAUAAUAUUUUUUAUUGUCUCAUGUAAAAUAUUGUUACAAAAAUACUUUGAUCACUCAGGUUAAUAACUUACACAUAAAGAAAGUAGUAAAAAUAAACAAGAUUAUCUAUUUUUUUUUUAAAGAAAAAUAGACACACAAACUAAUUCUUUAACUAAUAAUUUUUAAACUUUUUAUCUUGUAUUCUGUGUGUUUGAUAUAUUCUAUUUUUUUUAUAUAUUUUGAUUCAAUGAAAAUAACUUAAGAUAAAUCAUUUAUAUAUAAGUGAUAUGAUUAAUCUAAUAAAAUAAAAAUUUAUUAAAUUAUUUAUUUAACAGAUAAAAACAUUUUGAAUCAAUUCAAAAUUUCAAAUUUAUUUAACUAUUAUCGCUUUUCUUUCAGCGGGAAGAGUACUCCCCGGAAAAAUCUUGCAAAAUUUAACUAUAAGUAAAUGAAUGAACUAAAUAUUGAUUUAAUUCAUUACAGUUUUAUUUUUGUUUUUUCAAUAACUAGAACAUCAUCUGCAUUAUUAAAUUUAUCUUUAAUUCAUUAAAAUAUUAAAAUUUUAUUAAAAAUAUUUAUAUAUUUACGUACUAAUUUUGUAUGUAACGUUACAUACCUUAAUCUUUCACAAAGCAAUUCAAAAUUGACUCUGAACAUACUCUUGUUAUAAUUUAAGGCAAUAAAAUCAUUUAUAAAAAGAUAGACAUAAAAAUUAUAACUUUAAACUAAGUCCAAACAUCUUUGUCACCAGGUAGAUUGAAACCUCAAAUCUUAUAACUUCAACUUUUUGAAUCAACAAAUAACAUCAUAAUAUUAUAUUCAUACAUAAAUUAUUUUUAUUUUACUUUCAAUUGGUAUUUCCUUUUCAUUUUUAGUUACUAUUAAUCUUAUUUUAUAUAUCAAAAUAUUGCUAUUUAGAUUUAAAAUAAAGUAAAAAAACUAUUUUUAUAUAGACAUAAUAUUUUUAAAAAGAAAGUAAAAAUAGGAUUAAAAUGCACAUUACAAUAUGAUAACUAUUUAAAAAUAAUAAAAAUUAAACAAAUUUAUCAUAUAACAAAAUUAAUGUAUGAAAUUAUAUUAUUAAAACAGUAAAAUAAAUAGGUAAAUGGUAUAAUAGUUAAAAUAAAUUAUAUAAUAAUAAACAAUAAUAAAUAAUAGUAAUAAACUUAUUUUCUAUCAUUGUUAAUAUCAAUUUAGUAAAAUAAUUAACUUGAACAAAAAUCAUAUCUUAUAACUUUGAAAAAAAAAACAUAUCUUAUAAAUGAAUAAAGAAAAUAAAAUCAUCUCUUACAUAUAGAAGAGUAAACACGAAAAUUUAUAAUCAUUUUAAAGAUCAAACAAAAAAUAAAUAUAAAAGCAAAAGAAUCUAGCAUUUUAAAAAAUGCUAUUACUACUAAUGUUUUAAAAUAUGCUACAACCUCUUGGACAUCUCAAGUAUCCCAACUUCAGUGUUUGUUGGAUGAAGUCAUGAGUGAAGACCUCUUGCUACGGGUGGGCAUGGAUUGGAUUUUCCAAAAUCCAAUCUAGAUUCAAUCCAAAUCCAAAUAAGUGGAUUGGAUUUAAAAUCCAUAUCCACUUUAACUAGAUCAAUUAUAUUUGGAUUUUUUUAAACAAUCCGUUUAAAGUGGAUUGAAUCCAAAUUAAAUCCACUUUGUUAAUUAUAUUAAAUCCACUUUGUCAAUUACAUUAAAUCCAUUUUGAUAUGGAUAAAGACUAACUUGGCUCGAACUGGGCCUAAGCCGACUCAACCUGAACACAGACCAACUCGGCUCUACAUCGGCCCCAACCCAGACGACUCGACAUCGGUCCGGACAACUCGACAUCGGUCCGAGCCCGGACGACUCGACAUCGGCUUGGGCCCAGACAACUCAACAGCGGCCCCGACCCGGACGACUCGACAUCAGCCCGGGCCCGAACGACUAUACAUCGGCUCGACCCGAACGACUCGACAUCAGCCUAGGCCCGAACAACAUGACAUCAGCCUCGGCCGAACGACUCGACAUCAGUCCGGGCUCGUCGACAUCGGCUCAGGCCCAUUCGGCUCGACAUCAGCUUAAGCCCGCUCGGCUCGACAUCGGCCCGGGUUCGCACGACUCAACGUUGGCCCAAGCUCGAAUGACUAGAUAUCGGCCCUGGCCCCCUCGGCUCGACAUCGGCUUGGACCCGCUUGGCUCGACAUCAGUUCGGGCCCGCUCAGCUUGACAUCGGUCCGGGCCCAUUCAGCUCGACGUGGACUUGGGUCAACUUUGCUCAACCUGCCUCUGAAUUGUCUUGGCUCAACCUGGAUCGGGCCAAGUCAAAAUCCAACCCAAAAUACAAAUUGGAUAAUCCAAAAAUGUAUCCAAUCCAUAUCUAAUCCAUAUCCAAUUAAAUGGAUUGGAUUUAAAAUCCAAAAAUAUGGAUUUGGAUUUGAAAUAAAUCCAUUUAAAUGGAUCAAAACUAAUAUGGAUUUGGAUAAUUAUGGAUUGGAUUUUGUAAUUUGGAUUUUUUGCCCACCCUUACCUGUUGCCUUAUGUGUCUAGGUAGCUUAGGUUUUUCAACUGGUUAAACUGGUUUUGAAUUGGUUAAAAGGUUUUCAAUUGGUUUUAAUUUUGUUUUCUGGAAAGUUAUAGUUUUUCAAACGGUUAUCUUUUAAAUCAAUUUAUUAAAAAUAUUGAAAUGUUUUUAGAUUUUUCUAUAAAAUGUUUUAUAUACUCAAACCAUAUUUUGAUAUGAAGAUAAUUUUAGAAUUGUUUUCAGUUUAAGUACUUUUUAUUAGAGAAAAAUCAGUUUUCAUACCAACCAUAAUUUUUAAGUAAAAUCAGCAUAUUGCUUUGAUUUUUAACUGGUUGAUUUUACUAACGGUAUCCAUUAUGUUUUAAAACCGUUUUUGUUUUAACUUCUAUAAAAGGGUGUGUUUGUUUUCAGAAAAAUGUUACUUACAUAGUAUACACUUUUACGAUGUGUGAGAAUCCUAAGUGUGAGUAGUUUUUGAAAGAAUGAGUCUUUGAAGGUUCUUUGACAGUUAUUGGAACCUAAAUUUCAUCAUCAUCUAGAUAGAGGUCAAAGAUUCUUCAAGUACUGCUGUGAAUUGAAAGAUCUUGUUGCAUUUCUUGGUCCGCAGUCAAGGUGUUUUCGUUCUCUUUAUUACUGUUUUGUAAUUUUGUGUGUGUUGGGGGCCAAGAUAACGUUUUUUGGUGGGAAUCACAGUUGUGAAAGGGUGUUGCAGAGAGUGAUUUGAUUUUUUGUAGUGUUCAGGAACUAUUUUUGCUCUUCUUGUAAAAGACUUGUGUUAAUUUAGUGAAUUUCAUCUUGAUGUGAGGUGGGAAUGGAUGUAGCUAUGUUGUGAGUGAACCAGUACAAAUUCCUGGUGUCUUUUAUGCUUUCUUUAUCAUUGGGUUUUAAUUUUUUUUUGCAUAAUCUUCUUUACUGGUUUACUCAAUCGAUUGUGAAUAAGUUAAUAAAAAUAAAUUUAUUUUUCUUAAUCGGUGUAUUUAUCUAAAAAUCAAUUUGUUGUUUUGAAAAGUAAUAAGUUAAUUUUUUUUCAAGUUUGUUAUAAACCACUUAUUGCGAAAAUCUAACUAGGUACAAUUAACCUCCUUCUUGAACUUAGAUCCCAUUAAUUCAACACAACCUACUAAAAAAAUAUUUUAAUUAGUAAAAAAAUAUUGGAUUGAGCAUUUAUUAUUAAACCAAAAAUUAUAAUUAAUAAUUAGGAUGUAAUUGUAUUCUAAUCACCAUAAUUCGAUUGUAGUUUGAUUCAAUAUAACAUUCGCUAUGUACAAUUUAUGUAAGUCACAAUAAAAAAAAAAGUUGAAAUAAUUUCAAACAUAACCUUUCUCUUAAAAUGUCAAUAGAAAUAUAAAAUGUGAGAGGAAUGAUUUAUUAUAUACUAUUUGAAAUGAAUAAAGUUUAAAAAAUAUUUUUGUUUUAAUAUUGGUGAUGGAAUCACACUACAAGAAAAAAAGGUUUUAAUUGAGGUUAUUUAGUGGAGGUUGAUAUAACCUUAAGAAUUGAUUUAAUUAACGGAGGUUUUUUAAUCUCUAUUAAGUUCCAAGGUUUAUUCAAAAACCUUAGCAAAAUAGUAGAGGUUUUUUUAACCUUCGUUAAAUUUCAAAAGUUUAUUUUAAAACAUCAAACCUCAGCAAAAUAACGGACUUUUUUUAACCUUCGUUAAAUUUUAGAGGUUUAUUUUAAAACCUCAAACCUCAACAAAAUAACGGAGUUUUUUUAAUCUUCAUUAAAUUUCAAAGGUUUAUUCUAAAACCUUAGCAAAAUAAUGGAGAUUUUUUUAACCUUCGUUAAAUUCCAAAGGUUUAUUCUAAAACCUUAGCAAAAUAACAAAGGUUUUUUUAACCUUCAUUAAAUUCCAAAGGUUUAUUCGAAAACCUUAGCAAAAUAAUAGAGGUUUUUUUAACCUUCGUUAAAUUGCAAAGAUUUUUUUCUAAAACCUCGGUAAAAUAACAGAGGUUUUUUUAACCUUCAUUAAAUUCCAAAGAUUUAUUGUAGAACCUCAACAAAACACUCCAGAUUUUUCAAACUUCAAUAAAUAAAAAAAAUUAAAUCUAUUUAUAAAUAAAUAAUUAAAAACUACAUAGUUUUAAUAUAUUUUAUAACUAAACUCUCUAAAAUUUUGAAAGUGUAACUUUACAUUACAAAUAAGUUUUCUAAAGUUUUAAAAAUUUAUUUUAAAAACUUAGCAAAAUAGCAUUGGAUAAUAAGUAUAUCAACAACUAAUCUUGGAUAAUAAGUAUUUCAACAGUAUUUGCAUAUUUUUUGUGAUUGAUGAUAUGUGGUUUAUAUAAUUCCUAGUUUUUUUUUUGUUACUAGCUCAUACUUCAAAAAACUUAACUUAUUUUGUUUUUACUUUUGAUGUACAUAUAUUUUAUGUGCAAUUUUAGUUUUAGUUUUAAUUUUUGAUAUUUAAUUCUUAUAGUUUUGAAAUAUUUUAAAUUAAGGUCUUUAUUUUAAAAUGCAUAUAAUAAUUAAUUCAUUGUGAAAGUGAAAAGUGAUAAAGUUAAUUUCUCCUCACAAUAUGUUCUUGCAAUCUUUAGCCAAGAACACACAUGACUUUGAAGCCCACAUCUAAUAGAUAAUACAAUUAUUUAGAAUAUAUAAAGCAGUGAUAAACACUAGUUGUUGUCGAGUUAGGUAAAAUUAACUUGUGACCCAAGUUAGGGCAAUAAGGUGAUGAAAGAAGCAAUAUUGGAGUAAGAAGAAUAUACUGUUGUAUUUAGUGUUUCUUCUCCUUAUAUAUAAUAGACAUAAGUGUGACUGAAUUGUGAUUCCUUGUUAGGACUGUCGUCAACGACCAUUGAACUUGUGAUGGAGAGCAGUGUGUUUACGGUGGAAGAGAGAAGUUAGGAGGAUCGUUAGAUAUAGUGAAAAAUGGGGUUGAAGGUUAUUUUAAACGGCAAGUCAUUUUACAAAAAUUUCGAAACCCAUGAUAUUUUAUAGAGGUUUUGAAACUCAUGGUAUUUUAUGGAGGUUCUUAAACCCAUGAUAUUUAAUAGAGGUUUUGAAAGACUUUUCCUUAGGUUUAAAAACCCCCCGGGGAACACAUUUCCCAGUGAUGAUUUAGUGGGGAAAACUGCAAUCCUAGGUAAAUAACUUAAUAGAGGUUUUAACCCUGGAUAAUGUAAAAAUAAACCCCUAUUAAAACCAUUUUUUCUUGUAGUGUCACAUCAUAUACUCAUGUUAAUAUGUAUAAUAAAUUUAGAUAAAUAAUAUAAAAAUCUCACUUUCCUCAACUGCGUGUUAUCAUUCUUUAUCUCUAAGUUUCCAUUCUCUUUUUUUUCUCUAAUAUUCUCACAUGGUUUCUCAUUUUUUUAGAUCCUUCAUUAACGAGUUAAGGAUCAUUCCUAACAAAACAAAAGUUAAAUUAGAAUCCUUAGAAUAUUGGAGUUUUCUCAAUUUUCCCUCUUUAUUGACUUUUCCAAACGAAUCAAAGUUAAAUGUUUAAGUUAGUGCAUAAUUAUUGAAAGUUUGUCCUUUAAUUGAGAUUGAACUUGAAAAAUAUGUGGAACAUUAGGGUUUGAGAGAAAUUUUGAUGAUAUACUUUGAGUUUAUUUUUGUACCUUUUUGUACCUUUUGUUAUGAAAAUUGUUAUUGUUAAGGGUGAGAGUCAUGACUUGAUAAUAAUAUUAGAUUAUGAAUAAUGUUGGAUUGUAUUAUAAUAAUUGAAACUAGGUGUAAUAUAUUCAUCUUGAUUUUUUUUUAAGUUUAUAUAAUUAAGUUUGGUAGGCUUAACUUUUGUUAUAUUGAUAUAAACUUAUAGAAUGUUUUAGGUAGUUGACGUUAUCAAAUUUGAGCAAGUAAGUGUAAGGGUUAUGUUUUAGUACUUUUCUAAAGAGUACUUGAAAAUAGAUGAUUUAACUUGGUUGAGAAAACUAGGAAUGACUAAGGUUUAGUUAUAAGCUUUGAAUUUGAUUUUACUCAUGGAUUUGCUUAGAAUUGAAUAUUUGAUCGUGUGGUCAAAAUUGGUUGGAUUGGUGUGACUAUGGAAAUAGUACGCUAGUUGGUUAUAGUUAAACAUUUAAAACUUGUUAAACAUGUAUUUUGGUUAAAAUAAAUAAUUGGUUGAAGUUUGGAGUUGAUUUUGAAAAAUAUGAAAAAUGAUAUAUUUUUUGCAAAAAUUUGCUCAUUGGAUCUCAUGCAAAGUUAACAUUACUUUUUGGCUUGAAUAUGUUUGAUGGUUUAUAAUUCACGCAAUGCAAUAUUAUAAAUUUGUUGAGUGGAUUCAAACUCCAGAGCAAAUAGAGGAAAACUUUUGUUAAUUUUGCUUAGUAGUUUUGUAAGUGUUGAGCAAAUCAAUGUCUUUCAAGUUAAGCUUGGUAGUUUUCAUGAAAGUUGUAGUUUUUGAAUGUUGGCUUUACGAUGGGUUUGAAAUAAAUUAGGAAGAGGGUCUAUAACUUAAGUUAGGACUCUUUUGGUGAGCAAAUGUCAAGUUGUCAAUUUCAGUUGAAGUUGUUAUGAUUUUUAUUUUUAAGUUUAGUAAAUAUUUUUUUAAAACUUGAAGUAUUCAUAAGAUUUGUAACUUGUCCUCUUGUUUUUCUUAUGAUUUAUAUUCAAGUAUGUUUGGAUGAGUGAAAUUUGGUAUUAGUUGUUAUACUUAAUCAUUAUCACAUAAUAUUUAUAUUUUUAUGAAUUAUUUUUGGAUUUUGAUACAAUAUAAUGAAGUAAGAGAGUGUAAUAUAUGCUACAAAAGGUUAUGUUGAAUAUUAUUGAUUUAUUUAAUUUAAAUAGUUUUUUAUGUCAUACUUUAAUGUAAUUAUGAGCAUAUUUUGCAUGUUUUUUUUUAAUAUUUGUAAUUAGAUAAUUUUUUAUAAUUGAUUAAUGUUGUGAAUAAGUAUGAGACUUUAUUUUACAUAUGGAAUGCCAAAAGUUAUGGAUUUUUAAUGUCUUAAACUUACUUUGAAUCCAUGAAGCUCAAGUAUGCUUAAAUGAUAAAAAUGUUAUUCUCUUUUAUGACUUGCUUAAUACUAGUAUUUUGAAAAACAUCACUUAAUAUUCUUUAAUGAAUAUCCUUAUGCUAUAUAGAUCUAUGUGCGAUCUAUUUUUAUGUGUUGUGAUUAUGAAAGUAUUUGUUUAUAACAACAUUCUUUAUAUUUAAAUAACUUACCCAUUUUUUUUAAUGUAUGAUAUAUACUUUGGAUGUAAUAUGUACAUAAGUAGAUAUGAAUGCAAGAUCCGUGAAAUAAUUAACAAAUAUAUAUAUAUAUAUAUAUAUAUAUAUUCUCUUAUAGAAUAAAUGUAAAUAUUUUAAUGUUUAUAAAUACUUUGAUAUGUAAUAAUAUAAGUUGGAGAAUAAUUUUUUUAAUUAUUAUCUUAGUAUUUAUAAAGUGUUACAAAUAAACUUUAUCAUCAUUAUUAUUACGGGAUAUUUUAUCGUGUUAUUUUUAAUCUAUGCCAACUUUUGUAAUUUUAUGUUAGUUUAUGUAUAUAAGUUUGAAAAGUAAAAAUAUAAAAAAGAAAAAAUGACAUAGAUAAUACAUUAUUAGUUAUAAUAUCAUGUUUUUUUUAUUGUGAUUUUUAUUUUUAUAAAGAAUUAUUUAACUAAUAUUCGUAAUAAUAAGGAGGCAGGUACAAACUAAGGUAUGAACAUGGGUAGGAGUAUACCCAUUUUCCAAUGAAAAUGAGGACGAGACAUAUUUUUUUUUAUAUCUAUUAGAUGUGAAUGAGAAUGAAUGUUUACUUGAAGAAUGUGGAUGAGUUAGUAAAAUCUACACCCGUCCCUUUGUCAUCCCUUCCACUUUGAUGUAAACAUAAUAAGGUAUAUUUGUCAUGUUUAUAAAUUGAUAAAGAAAUAAGUAUAAUAUUUUGAUUCUAGUUUGAAAAUUUAGUAGAGUUUAAGAGAAAUAUUUUCUUUAAAAUGCAAAGGUUCUUUCUUGUUUUUUCUUUUCUCUUCCUUCAUUUGCACUCAUGUUGGUUUUUUUAGAAGUUUUUCUUUCAUGUAAAGAUUAAGGGGUUUGUUUGGUAUUGGUGUGUGGAUGAUUACAAAUGUUUAAUGGUAUUUAUUCUUUUUAGGUUGACCUAUUAACUUAAUUCUCUCAUUCAUUUCUUACAUUUUUUAUACCGUAGGAUUUUUUUUAUUGGGGAAUUUGGGAUUUUUAUUUAGGAUAAAUUCAUGAUAUAAACAAAGGGUAUUUUUUUAUUACAUUUGAUGGAUAAUGUUUUAUUGAUUAUGUCUUUUAUUGUGUUUUGUAAGUGAUGAUUUGACCGAAAAGUUCUUUGUAACUUUAAAGUUCUUUGUAACUUUUCAUCACAUGGAAAAUUUUAUAACCUCUUCAAUAUAAGGAGGUGAAGAAUGUAUUAUUCAUGAACAUCUAUUUUUUUUAAAAAAAAGUUGUGAUGUUUAGGUAAUGAGCUUAUGUUGUCACUUUUUAAACUUUUUGGCUAGACAAUUAUUUAGCAUAUUGUAUUUUUGAGGAUUUUUUUCAAUUAUGUGAUUGUUGUGUUAUAUUGAUAAGCAAAUCUUUUCUUUUAUUAUAACAUGCCCUUAUAUUUUAUUAAGUUGUAUCAUUCAUUUAUGGACAAAUGCCAUAUUAACUUAAACUUUAUUAACUCAGUCCUACUAUUUACUUUUAUUAUUAUUACUUACAUUUUAUCCAUUUAACUGGGUUACUUAAUGAAAUACUAUUAACAUUUUGUUUAUUUAUUACUAAAUCCACUUCAAUAAGAAAGAUUGAAAAUACUCUCAAAACAAUAAUGAUCUUUCAUCUAUUACAACUUCAUUUAAAAAAAACUAUUUGAAUACAAAAGUAUUAAUACAUUAAAUAUGGUAAAUGAUACUAUACUAUACAUAAUAGAAUUUUUUUUCAAGUUAAAAAUAUAAAACAAAACAUAAGUAUGAAUUCUGGAAUAAAAAAAAACACAUUUUCAUUUUCCAAAUUUCCUCUUCAUCACUGAUUUCUCCUUCAACUUAACACCAUUUUUAAGCAACUCCUCCAUUGUUGGCUAACUCAUGCAACUUCUUGUUUCCCUCAUCUUCCACUUUCUCAUCCAAUGAAAAGUAAUAACAAUGUGGUUGAAUCUACAAACAUCACAACAAAUUAUCAUAACCAAACUGUAAAAAAAAAAUAUUAUACAAUUUCUUUACUCCUCACUCAUCUUACACAUCUCUAAAAUAUUUUUUUUAUAUAUACUUCAUUCAUAUUAGUGAAUAUUAGUCACGUAGACUAAACAAUAACACUAUUAUUAUAAACCAUUAUCAUCAUUGUUUUGAGACAUGAUGAUCAAAUGAAUCAAAUGUGUAGAGUGAAAUUAAAACCAAAAAUAAAAAAAAAAGUCUAUAGACAAAAAACAUUUUUUUUUCAAUUUAUAACAUAGGAAGUAAGUAAGAUUUUCAAUUAUUUAUUAGACAUCUUUAAUAUUUCUCAUCUACUAUAUUUUUUUAAUCUUCCUAUUCACCUACUAUUUAUCUCAUUAUUGUAAUUAAUGAAUAAUUAUUUAACUUUUUAACGUCUCCAAGUAGGAGGUAUAGUUAAUGAGUUAGAUUAUUCAUAAACCAAAUAUCUAAACUCUCUUACUGUAUAACUUUAUCUAUAUAUAUAUAAAGGGAUUCUCCAUUAUAAUCAUUUUUUGAUGUACAUAUUUGUUUUUUUUAUUCUAUCCUUAUUUAAUAUAUCUCAUUUCAUUAGUACAAUGAAGUAUUUUGUCAUUUCAUAUAAAUUACUUAAAAAAUAAAAUUAAUUUUUAAUUUUUAAAUUAAUAUUAAUAUACAGUUUUUAUAUGCUAACUCAUCACUCUUCCCUUAAUUUCUUAUUUUAAGACAACAAUAGGAAGAGAAAACAUACUCUCACACGUUUUUACACCAAAUCUCACAUAUCAGAUAAAAUAACCUUUAUUUUCAAUCACCCUCUUCACUCCAUUUCAAAUAACUAUAUUCUUUGGUAAAAUCAUUAUUCUCUUAUAUCUACUAUCAAAUCAAUCUUAAUCUUAACGUGAACAUCAUUAUACUCUCCGAUUCCAAAACUACCAAGGAAAGAAGAGAAAGAUAAACUCAAACCAGAGAAGAAAAAAAGAGGUUGUUUAAUAAAUUCAUCAUUUUUCUUUUACAUGUUAUUUUUUUUCGACUCAUCCAAAAUUAUUUCUAUAUGUAUGUAAGAUUAUUUUUGUAUGUAUAUUAAAUUUCUAUCAUCAUGAAAGUUGAGUAAAAAAGGAGAAUGCGAAUAGCCAAGCGCUGUUGCAUUCCACUAGUUUAUAAUAAAAAAAAAUCAAAUUAUGAGAGUAGUUAAUUUUUACCAAUGACAAGUUUAUCAGUCUUCUGUUAUUUAUAAGUACAUUAUAGAAAUAUAUAUAUUGAUAGUGGUACCUAAUUUUAAAGUGUUAUUUUUAGUAAUAAAUAUUUUACACAUUUAUAUUUACUAAACUAAAACUAUAAAAUAUCUACCAUAGCACAUAUUUUUUUUAUGAAUAUAUAUUUAAACAUACUUCUAGUUUCUUAUUUGACAAAAUCUUAAUUUAAAAAAAAUACAAUUUUUUACAAAAGUUAUCAUUGCCUUUUUUUAGUCCUCACAAAAAUUAGCACAAUGUUCUCUCAGCAAACAUAACUUACCAACAGAAAAAACAUGAUUUUCUUGUUUUCAUUGACCAACAGGUCUUCUAGAACAACUUUUUGUUUUUUAAAAACUAGAAAACAACUAUAAUCUUUUUUCUUCAAAACACUAGAUCCUACAAUUUUUUUAAGAUUAAAACAAUUGCUAUAUCAAAUAAACUAAAAAUAUAUAUUUAAGUCUAUAUAUCAUUAUAUGAAUUGAAACAUAUUUGUAAGCAUAAAGUGAUUGGAUGAGGACCUUUUUGUGAAUUAUAAUGAUGUAUUCCCAAGUGUUAUUAACAAUUUAGUCACUUUUCUCAAGGUCUAAAAAGGAGGGGUUGAAAAUUUAUUUACUAUCACACUUUUGAAAUGAAAGGGAGAGUGAAUAUAUUAAAUGAAAAAAAAAAGAUGCAUGAACAUGAGAUUGUCUUGUCUUAUGCUUAGACCGGAAUUGUUGGAGAUUAGAUUAGAUUUAGAUAUCUGUUGGACUGCCAAGUUGCAACAAAAGAGACCAGACAUAAUUUUGUACCGACUAUAAUAUAUGUUUGGCGCCUUUUAUUCAAUUAUUUUAAAAAAUAGUAUAUAAUGUGUAUUGUUUUGAAUGAGACCGACUUGCCUUUGGAGGACCCACUAUAUCUCUGAAUACAUUGAACCUGUUAAGGUUCUUUCUUUACAUCGUCUGACAUUGUAUCUAUAACAACUAUUAAACUAGUUUCACAUAUCACUAACACUCUUCUAAUCUAAUAUGUUUAUUGGUGAUUUUUGGAAACUAAAAUUAUAAUUUCUGUUUAUUAACUUGUCCAUUAUUGAAAAUGACGAAAAUUAUUGCGGAAAAUGGUAAUUUAAAUUAAAAUUAAUGCUGCAAAUACUCGACAAAAGUUCUAAGUUUUCUCUGUUUUAUCUCGAGAAAUAAGGGUCUAGCUGCCAAUUUUCUUUUCUACAUCAUUCUAAGCAGACUGCUGCCGAGUGUUGAAUAACAAUUAUAUGGUAAUUAGUGUUUCAAUUAAUUUAUUGAUUUUUUUUGUAACGUUUCAUUAAAUAACAAAAGGUGAUUCACUGAUUAGAAUACACGCCUUUUCUGAGUAUGUUCUUCACUUGGUUGUCCUGAUACUCUUCCUUUUUGGUGGUUUUCUUUUCAUUUUUCACAGCCUUCGACUCUUUCUCUGCUUGAUAGGAGAUGUGUUUCUCAUGAUCUUGGGUUCUGGAUUCUGGGAUUGGUUGCAGAAAGGUCCUUUUUUUGGUUUCUGGGAGUGCAGUUCUUUUCAGAUUACGGGCAGAUUAGUACCUGGCUUCCUUGUUGACGAGCCUUGAAGGUUUUUAUGCUGUUUUUCUGCACUUUUUGAACCCUAUUCGUUUGUUUUGCAUCUGGGUAUUUCUUUGGAGUUGUCCCCCUCUGUUGGCGUGAUAGUUUUUCUUUUUUGUGUGUGGAUUUGAGAUAUUGGUCUCUGUGAAAUGAUGUUUGUGAGAUAGAUUUGUUCCUUUUAAAUUGGUGGCUAAUUUUACUUGAAGAUCAAGGGUCGUAGAUGAAAAUGAAAAAGCUGUUGGAUGAUUGACCAUAAAUGAGUUUGCAUGGGUUCAAUAUGUAGGUAAUGUGAAAAGGGUUGAAAGAAAUUGGGUUGGAACUAGGAUUUGAGGUCUAAUGGGUUCAUUUGUCUGAUUUGGGUUGUGGUUUAUGCGAAGCUAUGGAAGGGAAUUUGCCCCAGGGAGGUAUAAUUCAAGGUGGAACAUCUUUUGGUGGCUUUAAUUUGCCGGGAUCAAUUCGGGUUCAGCAUCAAGCACAACAUCCCCAUACCAUGCACCAACAUCAAAGUCAUCCGCGUCAAGGGUCUUCUGUACACUCCACAGUUCAUGAUGUUUUCCCUCUUACAAUGGGAACCCUGCAGAAUUGUGACCAAACCAUUUCAAUGACAGAGUUUAGUAAAGGAGACAGAAGCAAAAACUCAGCGAGUGAGGAAGACGAGCCGAGCUUUACCGAGGAUGGUGUUGAUUGUCACCAUGAAGCUGGUAGAGGGAAGAAAGGAUCGCCUUGGCAGCGGGUGAAAUGGACCGAUAAGAUGGUAAAACUUCUGAUAACCGCUGUUUCUUAUAUUGGUGAGGAUGUAACUGGCGAUGGUGGUGGAAGUGGAAGUGGAAGAAGGAAAUUUGCAGUGUUACAGAAGAAGGGUAAGUGGAAAUCUGUUUCCAAGGUCAUGGCUGAGAGGGGUUAUCAUGUCUCACCUCAGCAAUGCGAGGAUAAAUUCAAUGAUCUCAAUAAAAGAUAUAAAAAGCUUAACGAUAUGCUAGGGAGAGGCACUUCUUGUCAGGUUGUUGAAAAGCCUGCACUGUUGGAUGUAAUAGAUUUUCUUUCUGAUAAAGAAAAGGACGAUGUUCGAAAAAUAUUAAGCUCAAAACACUUGUUCUAUGAGGAGAUGUGUUCUUACCAUAAUGGUAAUAGGUUGCAUUUACCCCAUGAUCCUGCAUUGCAACGUUCACUGCAGUUAGCGCUCCGAAAUAGGGAUGAUCAUGAUAAUGAUGAUAUGAGAAGGUCCCAUCAUGACGAUCAGGGCGAAGAUGAUCCAGAUGUGGAAAUUGAUGAUCAUGAUGACUUUGAAGAGAAUUGUACUUCCCAUGGUGAUAGUAGAGGAAUACAUGCACCAUUAGGUGGAUCUAUGAAGAAACCAAAACAAGGCCAAGAUCAGGAAGAUUGCAAUACUUUUGGUAAUUCUUUAAAUUGUCAGGACUACAACAGAAGUUCAUAUCCCCAUGGGCAGAUGGUCCAAUCUGAUGUGAAUCAAGGUUUACCUGAAAGCAUGAGAUCAGCUUGGUUACAGAAGCAAUGGGUUGAAUCUCGCUUCCUUCAGUUAGAGGAACAAAAGCUACAAAUUCAGGUUGAGAUGCUGGAACUAGAGAAACAGAGAUUCAAGUGGCAGAGGUUUAGUAAAAAAAAGGAUCGGGAGUUGGAGAAGCUAAGUCUAGAAAAUGAAAGAUUGAAGCUUGAAAAUGAACGUCUUGCUUUAGAACUUAAGCGAAAGGAAUUGAGCACUGGCUUUAAAUAGGUCAGCACUCUCGCAAGCUUUCUAGCAAUUGCAUUACAUGCAUGGUGCUCCAUUUUUGUUGCUUUUGCUGUCUUUGUUAAGUUGUUGUUUGUUUAGUUGAAAGUAUGGGUUUUUGAUUUGGUCACUUUGCAGAUCUAACUCUUCCUCCUGCAUGCACCGUUUAAGUUUGUGCAUAAGGGUUAGGCUCUACUGAAGUUUUGCUGCUUGUGUCAGAAAGCUGGGUAGCUGAAAUACCUUUAAUCCUUUUAGUUUGUAAUAUUAAAUUUCUGGUAUUAUUAAUUGUGUCUCCUUCCAUUUAUGUUACAGCCUAUAUAUAUUCUUCUGGUUAUUUAUUUGUUUUCUUCAUUCUUUGAAAUCAUUUGUGUCCGUUAUAUAAUGGGAAUAAGUAUAUGUUUAUUGUUGAAAUCGUGUCUACUGUUCAUACCCACCAGAACAAUUUUGAGAGAAAUCAUUAAUGUUGACUGUACCUUAAGAAUAGGUUAAUGAAGCUUUAUCUAUCUUCUAAGACUAUUGCUAGAUUAUUAUUUGUCAAUGAUUUUUUUCAUAUACUUCAUUAGCCAAAAGGGGAGUCUUAUCAAUCUGUUGUUAAAAUAUUGCUGUUGAGUUUUCUUUGAAGUUCUUUUUUCCAUCUUGUCAUUCUUUACCUGAAUACAUGACAAAUUUUUUCUUCUAAAACCCUACUGUAGGAUAUUAAUAAACUAUGUUUGUUGUGUUAUAUCUGUUAGUUGAAAUCUGUUUGUUAGGUGUUUUGUUAGUUCUUAAUUACCUCUCAAAUAAGCUCUAUAGAUGAGCAUGCAUGUACUUUUUAUUUGCAUUUUUUCAUAUCUAUCAAUACCAUGAGACAAUUCUAUGGAAGUCCUAUCUUAUUCCAUGAGCUAUAUGAGUUUUGGCCUCAUAAACUUAGGGUCACUUGCAUCUCUUAAAAUUCUGAUAGAGUAUCAGUGCUCUCUUGUGGAGAGAGCAAUGAUUCUGCUAUAAAAGAAUAGAAAGAGAUAGAAGUGAAGUUGUGGUUACAAAAGAUCUCCUGAAGCAUGUAACAACAAUAGAUUGGAGGAAUUUACUGAAGAUUCUUGCAAGGAAGAAACACCAAUAGAGGAAAAGUUCAUUCACUUUUGCAAGGACACAACGGAAGCGUUUGCACAAUGGAAUGGAGUGGAAUUGAGCAAUAAUGAAGGAGCUAAGGAUCUCGUCUUCAAAAAGUGUAGCUCCUCCGCCACAAUAGAUCUCAUCUUCCAUUCACACUUAAUCUUCCUUGGUUUGCACUACCUUUGUCCUUUUUUCUUUUUUUGUCGUUGCCAAUGACUUCUUCAUCUUCUUCUCUACCAUUGGUGCCCCCUCACCCACCAUUGACUUCUCUUCUGUGUAUUACUUCUCCAUUGGACUCUAGUCUUCCUCGGGUGCCAUUGGCAGCACCCUAGAAAUGCUCCUCAAAAUUGCAGUGUAGAAUAGAGGAGGUCAAAUUGGCAAAAUUCAUUAGGAAUUGCGAGAAAUUGAAGGAGGUUUUUGGGAAUUGCAUUAGAAAAAUCUAUGGAAGUUCCAUAGAAUCAGAGCGUUUUAUGCUAAUAAUAUAUUGCAAUGAAAUGCUAUAUCUCGUGACGAGUUUCUGAUGCAGAAAAGUUGUGCAUUUCGUUUACAUUGUCCUAAAGACAUAAACAUUUGAAAUAGUAAUCUUGGUUUGGUAUUUUUUUUAAUCUUCUGUUUAUCUUCUGUGCUUGUAGGAGGUUUUUCCAUUUAGUUUAAAGGGUUGGGCAAUGGUAGGUGGAAAAAGUUUUAUGGCAUUGUGCCAUUGUAAGCUCUGUGUCUUUGGUUGUAGUGAAGUGCUCAGAUUUUAGAGGAAAUUUCCUUAUUCAAGGAAAUAAGUAUAUAAGGUGGUUUCAGAGGAAAUAGGGUGAAAAAAUAUUUUCCUUUUGUGAAAUAUAUGCCAUCUUUGCUUGUGAUGAAAUUGUGCUUGCUGUUAAGUUGCUUAAGCUACAAAUUCCAUGUUUGGUGUCAUCAAUUUAUCUCAUUCAAUUACACAAACAUAAACCACAUUUAAAUAAUGCAGAGUUCCAUCCUAUUUACUAGUUACAACAGUGCAUGUUAUUGGGUCUGAAUUUUGAAGCAUUAUAUAUAGUUUUAUUGCUUUAUUUUUUUAUUUUUUAAUCUUAAAAAUGUAUAAAAUAUUGGUUUCUAGGAUCAAACUACUGUUCAUAAGACAAGUCAAUAGGAAAACCUUUUGUGCUGAAACUUACUAAUGAAAAUAGUAGUGUCCUAGGAUUAAACUAUUGACUACUUGGCCAUAAAGCUUUGGUACUAUGUCGAUAUUCAAAUCUUGAUAAAAGCUUACAGCCUUAGAAUAUUAGUUUAUUGACUUGGAAUUUCUUUUGUCCAACUGGUCACAGUAUUUCUAUUUCCUGGUUUAGUUAUAAUUUGGGUUCUAAUUGUCUUGAUUUUAAUUUGGUAUUAAAAAAAAUAUUAUUUUUUUCUCAUAAUUUUAUAAUCCAGCUCUCUUUAUUAAGGGGUUUUCUAAAACUGUCCUUGUAUUUGGUGAUAGGAGUAAGAGUGAUACCUUUUUAGCAAGGAAAACGACGACAAUUUAUGUUUGUACUUUGUAGUCUAUUAUUAGCUGAUGAAGUGGGGAAUUUUCCGAUAAAGUUAUAUCUUAAUCCAUAACUGGAGAAGAUAAACAAGUUUCGGAAAUUGAUUGUAUUGGAUUUAAUGUGUCUAUGUAAGUCCAUUUGUGUGUGUAGAAUGAUCUUGUGAAGUAAUUUAUCGUGUAGACAUUUAUUUGGUGUAUGUGAUGUAAAAUGCAUUUAAUAUUUCAUAAAGGGUGUAUUGAUGCUUUGUGUCUCUUAGGGUAAAACACCCUCCUAUGUUCAACAUAUUGUGAAAUUUAAGUCCAACUCCUUAAGGGGAGGGAAUAUGUGAUUUUCCCUCCUUUUCAUGUAUACUGUGAGUGUAAACCACAAAUCAUAUCAUCAGAUCGAUAUAUGCAUUUGUUAAUCUUAUCACAUGCUUUACAAAUGAAUGAACCAUUACAUUAAUCACAAGUCAAAACAUUAGUAAAACUGGAUAAUUCAAACUCUCCUGAAAAUUCAAGUAAAUCAUCUCCUCAAAGCCAAUAAGUUUGUCAAGGUAAAGAACAUAGUAUUUUGGACUGACUGAUUUAUACUCUAGGGCAGUGGUAGACGCUAUUGGAAUGGUAGACGCUUCAAGGUUAAACAUUCCAUUUAAACCAGUGCCUGCACCUACACAUGUAUCAGCAAAACCCUUCUUAACUUGACCAGUGAUAUGUACUUCAAGAGUGUCUUCAAAAAACAUGAACAAGAUCGACAUUAGGUUCGUCAACAAGAUCAUCAAUGUUAGAGGGUUCAUCCAUAAUUGCUGUGAUGACGACCUUAUGUGGAAGAGAGUCUAUACCUGGAUAAGGGUCUAUAUCUGCGAAUGAAAUGGAAAUUGGGGGUAUGGUCGAAUUAGUAUCAAUUAUAACAACAGACCUUGAAUGGAUGAGGAGAGGAGUGUGGAAAUGUUUUGCUAUGUGAAUUUUGUGUAUGAAGGUUGAAUCCAUCCCAAACCUGACCUAUGUACUUCCAUAUUUGAGUGAAACUAACUGUAAAUGUCAAAUAAAAUAACUCCAAAGAAAAUUUCCUUUUGGUAGGGAGUGAGUGAGUGAGAAACAAGAAAGUCAAGAGAAAGUUGGUUUAGUUUUGGUGGUGAUAAUUGAAUAGUUUUGUGAGAGAUAUUCUCUUCGUAUUAGUGUAGAUAAAUAUAGAUAUAAACAUCCUACUUUUAGUGGUUGACUGUUUUAUUUGGAGCUAGUUCCUGGGUUUGUUAAAGAACGAGCGCUUUAUAGUAUGAUUUUUUUUUUAUAAUAUUACCUAGUUUCAUCGGUACUUCAGCAAUAUAUGUAGGGUUUAAUGAUGCAAGGAAAGAUGUUUAUUAGUGUAGUAAUUGAUAAAAUUAUCAUUUUCAGUUUCUACAAGUGUUAUUCAUGAUAUGUUUCCUGUUUGUUAUAAUGCAUAUGGUUUUUAACUGAUAAGAACUUAAUUUUACGCAUUAAAUUUAGCACAUCACUUUUAGGAUUCUUAAGUAUGAUUAUGUGCUUGACACCAAUUUCAUAAUCUCUUGCUUUUCUAUCACAUUCUUUAACUCAUAAAUUCUUGGCGUACUCCUAUUGCUAUGAUUGGCGCUGUUUGAGUAAUGAACAGAAAUACUUGAUCAGCAUAGAUUUGCUUUUGCCUUUAUGUUUGAUAGAAACUGGCACGAGCCUAUGACCAUUACAACCUCGUAAGGAGUUUUCUGUUUUGUUUACAGGCUGCAACAAAUGAUGUUCUGAACUUCUGAGAAUAUUUAGUCUAUCAAAAUUGUAAUCAUGAGAACACUUGACUUUGCAGAGGAUCAAUGUCUUUGUCCAUUACUUGUCUAUUAUCUGAUGCUCAAGAAAUCCAGAACUUGGAUCGACAGUUUCAGUGGUUGAUCUUGAGAAAAGAAAGAAGAGAAUCUCUUUGAAAAUUUGAAGAGUUAUUCAGCUGAAAUUUGUGUGUGGUUAAGCCAUCAUCAUAUCACACACUUAUAUUUAUUUAUGUUUAGAACUAAUGUACUGAAGUAUUAAAAAGUAUUCAAGGAUCAAAUAUCUUCUGACAUAUUUUUUCACAGUUGAAUCUUAGGAUCAAAUUCAUGAUCACAUACUGUUUUUUCUGUCCUAAAUUUAAACAGGAGACCACUUAUCUAGUUUACUCCUACCCCUUGUAUGUCUUUUCUAAGAAAAUAAAAUUGUUGCUGCUCUGAAAAUGGAUUUGGGGUGCUUUAUUAGAAUUCCUUGUUAGGUAUGGUUUCUCGAGGUUUUAUGGAUAGGUAGGUUCCAUUUCAGAAUGCAAAAUUUCAAAGUCAAUAAAGAUGUAAAGGUUAAAAUUUGAGCCAAGAAAAAAAGAAUUGGUAUUUUGUGUUCCUUUAGGGGUAGUUUGGUAUGAGAAAGUGAUUUUUACCAAAUUCAAGAAAUUCCAUCCUUCUAAAUUGUUUGGUUUCUAUCAUGAAUGAGAAAGUGAGAAUCCCACUAAUUCAUUCUCAUAUCUUCGUCCACAGAAUGAAUGCACGUGAUUUAAGUUAGUGGGGUGUGGGGAAUAUGAGUAAUUUAUACACAAUUUUUUGUAAAAAAAUAUUGACACACCGAGAAAGACAGCUCGAGAAAAAGUAAAAAGUGUGAAAUAAGAUGAAUUAGAGAGUGCUCCAAAGUUUACGUGAGUGGUCCUAAAAUUUUAUUUGAUCAUUAAAAAGUCUUUACAUAAAUAUUUAUUGACUAUCCAUAUCAAGAUUUACAUAUUAUUUUGAUCUUUACUAAUUCAAUAAAUUUUUGUGGACGAAAUAAAAUGAAUGAUAGUAAUAGAAAAAAAAAUUAUAAUCGUAUAACUUAAAGUAACACAGCAUGCAACAAAUCAUUAUUUCCAUUAAUUGGAAGAAAAUGGAUAAUAGUGAUUGUUGUAUUGAAAUUGAAGGCCCAGUUUUGACCAAAAACAUUUGGGAAGCCCAGAUUCAAAAUGCAAAUCGUUUCAACAAUGCAAUUUUUUUGGUACGCGUGACUUGUCAGUAGUUUCUGUACCUUCAACGGUGAUGUUUCCUUAAAUUUAAUCCCACGUAUUUCUCGUGUUAUGUUUUUGGUGCAAUGUAGUUCUCGUGUUUUUAGUUCAUACAAAUGUUUUACUCUCUACAUAGUAUUUUGGAUGACAUUGUAUUAAUUUAAUCUUUCAUUUAAAAGAUAAAGAAAAAAAAUGUAAUAAAUUAAAGAAUAAAUUCUGAAUAUUAAAUUUCAAGCAAAAUAAGGUAAGAAAUGUUUAUUAAUAAAAUCAAGAGUUAAAUAAACAUGUAUGAUCACAUCGUAGUUUUUGUAGAUAACGACAAAAAAUUGUCGUUGAUAUAGAUGAGAUUGUGCCUAUAAUUUAUAUAAAAAUCAUAUUAUUCAAUAAAUUUUAAUUCGAUAAUUUAACUAAUUUAAUCGAAUUUUUUUUCCUACAUAUAUAAAAAAGUUAUUUAGAUACAUAAAAAAAUGACAGAAUUCUUUAAUCAUAUGUUAAUAUUAAUGAUCGGAUUAGUUUUUAUUAUAAUUUAAUUUUAAAAAAACGGCACAAACAAUUAAAACAAUAUAAUACAGUGAUGUAAUUGUUAACCUUACAAGUAAUUACAUAAUGAAAACGGAUAUUUAAGAUGAUUGGUUAAAGUGUGCGUGAGAUAGUUUACACAUUGAUAGUAAUUAAAUGACAAUAAAAAAAAUGAUUUAUUAUUUUGAUUUAGUGUAAAAUGAACGUUAAAGAAAAUUGAUUGUUGCGAGAGAAGAGGGUGCAGCAUGGGCAGCAGGGCCGCGGGGUGGAGCGUGCCAUAUUGAUAAGACUUUCUCAUUACUUUUCUUUCCACUUUCGUUUUCCAAAGUAUAAACCCUUCUUUCUUUUUGUUGCCGAUCUUGCUUAAUAUUUCCCUUCAAAACUAUUAUUUGUCUUUUCAUCAAUCAUUCCUCUAUAUGCUUGUCUUUACCAAUAAUUAUAACUUAUAUAAUGCUAAAAUAUUUCACCCAUAUUUUAUAAAUAAAUAAAAACACAUGGACUCACUCUUCCAAACUAUUUAAACUCACAAGUUAAUUUUUUAUCGAAAAUAAAUAAAUUAAACUAUUAAAAUAUUUGAGAAUACUUACAAAUAACAAAUAAUAUUGUUAAGUGUAAAGUCAACACCAAUUUGACAGGGCUGACUAGACACCAUGUCUAAGUGAGUGAGCUUAAUUAUUGUGUCCUCUUUAUAAUAUUUAUUUAAGAGAUAUUUGUGUUUGUAAUAAAAUUGUAAGAAACUGAAUGAAAACCUAAUUAGUUGUCCGUGGAUGGAUGUAGGUUGCAGAUUGGCGACCGAACCACGUUAAAUCAUAUGUUAUUUAUUUUCUGUUGUUGAUUUGUGAUUGUGUGUUGCUUCCGCGUGUGUUUUUUUUCCAUCAAAUGACGAAACAUAUCUAAAAUACAAGAUCAUAGAAGCAUGUUACAUAUAAUCAAUCACCUCUUAAACUCAGUUAAAAUAAAAUAAGUUUAAAUAAGAUAUGAGAUCUAAAAUCGAAUCAGAAUAUGCAAAUUCAAUAGACUUUAUUUUAUGAGAUAAUGAUCAAACUUUGAAUUAGAAAAAUGUAAAAUUUUCAGUAGAUGUGAUAUUGAAAUUCUCCCCACAAUUUGAUUUCUCUACUUCUAGAUUUUUAUUACUAUAACCAUCCAAGUCCAAGCUUCACCAUUAUUCGACAAAAAAAAACAUUAUUCAAGUUUUUUUUGUUAAAGUGCAUAUAUAUUAGCAGCGUAUAAGCCACAAAGUUGGGUUGUCUUGACUCAAGAGUCCACACGUGGCCAUUUGAACUAUUAACAUAGAAUGUAAUAAUAAUAGUAUCAAUGAAAUGAUGUUAAUAUAGUUUGUUAAUAAUUUUGAUGGACAUAAUGACACUAUAACGGAUAUUGACUUUAGAUAGCAAGAAGGUUUGCUUUUCAACUCAAGAGACCAAUUUCAAAGAAGGGACUAUUUUUGUGUUGUGAUGUUCAAAUACUUUUUUUUUUUUUGAAAUUUUAAACUAAUAGGACACUGUAGAAUGUAUGAGAGAAAAAAAAGAGAGCAGAAUGGUCUCAAACCAGGGAAUACGUCAUACUUUACACUAUACUUGUAAAAUGGGUUUCAUUAUAUUUUUGUUUUUUCAUUUUACUAAUUAAAAUUGGCUUUGUUUUUGUAUAUGCAAUUUUUAAAUCGAUGGAGGGAAAUAUUGAUGUCUUAAUUUUUUUUCAGUGCAUCUGUUGUUUUUGUUGAGUUGUGAGAUUUCAUAGAAAAACAUCAACUUAAUUAACUCUGUAAAGCAUACCUGUCAACCUCUUUUGGGGUUUGGUUUGGUGCGUUGUUACUAAAUUUUAUUCGUAAAUAAAUUCCGUAGAAAAACUGUUCCUUCUAUUAUUGCUUUCCAUUAAAAUUUGUCGUUGUUAGUGCGUCACAUAACAUUUAUGUUGGUUCUUAUUUAUAAAUGUCAAUGUACCUUUCCACUUCGUGAUACAUGUCUUAGGGUAUCUAAGGUUUGUUCUUCCGAAGAUCAAAUCCCUGUGUUUUUGCAGUAUGUAUCUUAUUAUCAUUAAAGUUUGCGACGCUAUUAUAAAUUUAGAACUUUUCAAGUUAAAGCUAUGCUCGAGUCGGUGUUUGUUUUUUCAACUAAUGCAAACAAACGUUAAACUUCGCUAGGUCAAUUCUUUCCCCUGUUUGUUCUCUGAGAAAGUGUGAGAGUCCCUUUUUGAAAGGUUUCAAAAUCAACCAAAUACACAUUUAGUAAAUCAAAAGAAAAGUUUAAUUCAUUUCAAGUUAAAUAUUUUAAGAUAAUAAUAUAUGCUGUCCAUUUUAAUUGGGGAAGUUUACUAAAAUUGUAUUCAAACCUAUAUGGCAGUAUGGGUUUUAUGAAAGGCCUUUUAAAAUAAUCACAAUAAAUUUUUUUCGGAGUUGUACUAUAUGACCGAAAGUACAUCUCCAAAUAAUGUAUCUCAAAAUCCGACCGAGCACACCACAACAUAGAUCCAACUUCAUGUUUAGUAACCAAAUCAAAAACAUAAUUUAGUACGAGAUUAACAGUGAUAGUAGUGCUAAUUAGGAGUAUCAUUCUUAAAAUUCAAGUGAUUUUAUAAAUAGGUUAACAUAUGCAUUAACUAUCCCCAACAUUCAAAUUCUGAAAACUGAUUGAAUAUCAGAAGAUCUUUGCAGUUAUCCUACCACAUAUGCCAAAUGUCAAAAUCAAAACCUGAAGAUCGAAAACUGAUUAUCAAGGACCUAUCAAGACCUUUUCGACUCUUACAAUGACAAGAGUAAUCUAGAAUAUUUUUAAAUGGUGAUUUUAAAGGAAUGUUUUGAGUGAGAAACAUGACAGAGGAUUUAUUAUAAGUGGUUGCUUGCAUGAAGGAAUUGUAAGUGCAUCACGACCUCCUUGAAUACUGAAUCUCAAGCAAUUAUAUGCAGUUGAAGACUUUUCUAAUAAUACAGAAGAAUACGGUACAUGAAAUUUCAGAUGAUGACAAAACCAAUAGUAAGCACGAUCUCAAAUGAAAAUUAAGACAAAGUUAAGAGAUUGAAGAACAAAACCAAAGACUUGUAUAAUAAGUGAACAUGACAAGGUAUAGUUAAAGAAAAUCGAAACUCCCAUUAGUAUGAUUUUUAACAGUUACAUCGUGAUUGGUAAUAAAAAAACUACUUUAUUUGAGAACCUUUUUGUUUUCAAAAUCUUGUUUAAUCAUGUUGUAAUCCUUACACUAUUUAAAACUUCCAACUCUAAAUGAUUUUGCAUGGUUAUAUACAAAUAAGAUAUCUACUACUUCCCCAAUAGUUAUAUUAAUAUUCAGAAACCCUUUUUCAUUUCUUUUGUUUUACGUCCAUGUCCACAUUCCCAUUAAAACUUUUGAACAUAAGCCAAUGCAAAGUCAAAGGUGGUCAAAUAAUAAUAUAAAUUAUUAUACUAAAGCUAAAACUCAGGUGGCAUAUCCUUUACCAACUCGUUGACCAGACUUUGUUGUAUGAAAUAAUCAACCACAGCAAUUUUCUAGAUCCUGUAGCUCCAUGUUGUCCAAAAUUGAAAUCCAAUUUCCCUUUGGUGAUGUUAAUUUUAUGCCAGAGACCACAUAACUGGAAUUAAUGAAUCCCCAUAAGAAGACAAUUCCACUCAUUUAAAAUGCACCCUCUUUUGGUUAUCAAAAUGUGUGAAACACCCACGACAAAAAAAAUUAAAAAGACACUAGCAACGGCGGCACUAAAGUUAGACGUGGCUCAGAAACAGUGACACCUUUUUGCCUCUUUUUUUUUUUCAACUUUAUUUUCAUUGUAUUUUGUUUCCAUCAUCUAUGACCUGAUCAAGACCACCAUGAACGAAUAUUUAUAUAUAUAGAGACAGUGAGAGAGAUAUUGGGUGGAAAAUAUAUAUAUAUAUAUAUAUAUAUAUAUAUAUAUAUAUAUUAUUGGAGUUCGUGGGGUUAUUUUCCUUUGUGGUCCGUUGGGAUGAUAACGAAGAAAGAGUUGCGAAAUACACUUAUGUAAAGUCCGUUGCCACAUGCUUAUCCAUUAUCCAUAUGAGAAUUACAUGAGAGAAGUGGAGAAGGAAGAAAAAAUAAAGUUAAAACAAAAAAUUGAGGCCAUAAUUUUGAUAAACUAAAGAAAUUGAAAAGCUAAGAAGUGGACGUGAAAGGAUGUGUUUAUUUGUUACGUAGUACUCUUCCUUUCUUCUCCCCUCUUGUAAAUUGUUGUUUGUGGGGACAUGGGCCCUCCCACCCUUCCUUGCUCAAUAUGGGCUUUUCGAGUGCCCUCUUUCUCGGGGCCCGCAUGGGGCCCAUUUACAGCGACCUUCUUCUCAUAAAUAUAUAUAUGCUUCUUAAUUAGGGUUUAGCAACGCCAGAGAGUGGUUAAUUGUUGUUAUUACAUAUCAAGAAAGCUGUGCUAACAAGUCUUUAAAUAAGUGAUUAAGAUAUCACACAAAUGAAAAGGCUUAACAUAAAGUUAUUACAAACACACUUCAACCAUCAUUUCCAAUAAUAAAACAAUCUUAUUUGUUAAAACACUAUUGCAGCAUUCAUUAGUUGAUCCAUAACUUUAUUAAUAAUUACUACUCCCAGAAAUGGUAACAGUAAUAAUAAUAAGUAACAUUGGGAUCGCAGAGGAUUUUGUUUAUGACCCUACGUGCAAUAUGCACAUGGUUCCACGUUCCAAUGAAUCUACGGUACAAGACGUGGAGGAAUAAUUUUACUGUAGCUUGUAAGUAAGGGCUGUAAUAAACAAAUAAAAUUAUUGUGAAGGACCAAAUCCUUUGCACAUGGUUAUGAUUGCUUGCAAUUUACUCUUCACCACUAUCUUUUUCCCCCGUUCACUUCUUUACUCUAUAUUCCAAACUUCAAACCAGAUACUAUACGCCAAAUGUAGAAAUCUUUAAUGCAUAAUAUACAACUUAGAAGAGAGAGAAGAUGUGUUAAUCUGCACACCACACCAAUAACUUAAAAUUACAAUGAUAGCUUUAUUUCUGCUUCGUAUAACAGAUCAAAGUGCCUCUGGUGUGAAUCAUUUUGCCAGGUUAUAUUAUUAUUAUUACAGUUAUUAAGGAAAAGAGGAAGAGACAUGUGCGACAAUUUUGAGAAAAGCUAAAGAAUAAUGGUAGCGUUGUUUAAACCACUGAGGUCUGCUCCAAAAUGAAACAAUAAUUUCAUCAUAAAGAAGAUGGAAGUAAAAGGGAGAGGGGCUAGGAAGAUGAAUAAUAAGGCUUUGAUGCGUUACUUUAGCAUUUUCUUAGUCAUGGGGAAAUAUAGUGGAGCAUGCGUGUGAUUUGCAAGAUUUAAAAUUAAGUUGGAGAAGAUUAUGAGGGAAGGAAGGGGAGAGAGAGAAGAAGAAAGAAGGGGGCAAGAAAAAAAAAUAUGCAUCAGAUUGGUGGAUUGCUUAGCUGGUGACAGAUAAAUCUAAGGGUUAAUCCACAUGGUAGACAGAAGAUGUAAGUGUACAUUCACAUCACAUGCACCCCCCAUGUGAAGUAAACCUUUUGUCUACAUGUAAAACUUUUCUCAAAUGGGUCCUGUAAAUAUAAAGUCAUCCAGAUCCAUAAAUUGUUACGUAUUUAAUGAGUGCAUAUGUAUAUAUUUUUUUCUUUCAUUUUUCUCCUAUCUCAGCAACUGCAAAAGUGACAAUGGAUCCCCAUUUUUCCCUAUUUUCAGUAAUUUCCUUGUCUGCAGGGUUGCUAUGCAGUUUCUUUCCUUUUUUCUUUCUUUUUAAAUUGUUCUUUUAAGGAAAAUUUAUUGCUUGAAAACAAAACAUGAGGUGGGGUUUUAUCCUUCUUCAUAUUUACCAUCAUAGCUGUAAUGUUUUUUUACCACACAAUGUUAGACAGAAGCAUGUUUCUCUUCUGUAAAACACAAACUGACACACACAGCAAGCAAUCCAUGAAAUGUUACUAUAUAUAAUCAACUUUCACUCUCCCCAUUCUCAUUAUUCUCUUCCAAUGUUUCCUAUGCAAGAUUAACUGCAAUAUACAAGUUACAGUCCAUAUCUGCAGUUUUCAAUUCCAAAUAUUAAUGACACUUACUUUGCUGCAGACAACUGUGUGUGCAUAUACAUGACCCCAAGUUGUAAAGUGAAUCGUAACCCAAACUUUUUGUUUACUUGUUGGAUGGUUCUAAACUAAUUAUUAUAAAGUUAUUAAUCAUAAUCAUAUAAAUUAUGCAAUAAUACAUAUAAUAAUUACAAGAUUUCAAAUUAUUAAAAAAUAAAUUUAAUUAAAUUUAAUUCAAUCUUAACAAACCGAUUUAUAAAAUAAAGUUUUUAUCUCUGAUAUAUUAUAAAAUUAAAAAUAAUUACCUAUAGAUCUCCAACAUAAAUCUAAAUCUAAAUAUUAUUUCAUUGAGAUAAUUCUGUACAUUAAUUAAUUUUUAAGUAGUCACACACAUUAACUCUAUCAACAUGAAAAUAGUGUGCAUGGAUAAACCCUAAUUUAAACUCUCACAAUAAAUAAAAAGAGCUUACAUUAGGAACUUAUAAAUAGUUUUAUAGUGUAGGUAUCAAUUUCUAGAAAAUCAAUUUAUGGAAGAUAAUAUGUUUUAAAUAUUUUUUGCAGUAAUUAACUAUGUAUAUGGGUUGAUAAACCAAACUCUAAAUCCAAAACCCUAAAGUGUUUCUUAUUAUAUAUGGUUGAAAAAAAAAAUAAGUAACAAGAAAAAAGAAAUGAGAAAUUUUCUUAUUAUAUAUGGUUGAAAUUGUGUAAGUUCCAAUGAUUCGAAUUGUAAUUUAUAGCAUAUAUUGACUAAAAGGAAAAAAAAUAUGAUUAGAAGUUGAAAGGUGUGAUGAGGUUGUUUCCUCCAUCUACUUUGAAUGAUUAUAAGGUGAUUAUUUUUGAAAGACAUACAUAGCACUAACAUCUGCAUUGGUUAGACUUAGAUUGUGGGGUUUGUGAGUGGCUUUGGGAGAAUUGAUUGAAUGUUGUUAGUCUUUUCUUUUCAGUAUACAUCUCUUUCGAUCUUCUGGUAUGCACAUAUUGUUAAGUACUGGCAUGAUUCGGUUUUCAAUAUAAUGGCAUAUAUGAAUAUGCGUUAAUUCACUCAUAAUAUAGUCAACAUGUUCCAUCACAACUUUCCUGAAAAUAAAUUUCUGGUACAAGCUGCCAAUGUCAUUGCAUUAUGUGAUUGCUUCCAAUUAUAUUAUUCCCCACUGCAGGGUGCUGUUGUCGAUCAUGCAUACCCUCCACCCUAUUUAUAUAUAACAUUUAAUAUAAUAUUACACGUAUAAUAAUACAAAUCAAAUCAAUAUUCUACACACACAAAAUACACUAAUGCCUUUUAGAUAUAUGCCUUAGGGUAUUAAUAAAAUAGCAAAAUGUUUUCUAGGGCAUCUUUUUAAGUAGAUGUUUUGCAAGAGAAGCAAUGUGGUUAAGGAGGAAGAGAGUUUUGAGAGAUGAAGAUUAAAAAAAGGGAGAAAAAGUAUUGAAAAAAGGGGUAUGGCAAAUGUUAUGAUGAGAUGCCUACUUUUGUACACGACUUCCUACCCUUUAUUCACACUUAAUAUUAACCAAUCAGAUAUUCCAUCUCACAUGUUCAAUCAACAAAAGAGAGACAUAUUCAUGUGUGCUUCUGUCUUCAUUUUUAUUUUAUUUUAUUUUUUUUCUUUACCCAAUAUUAAAAUGCUUCUCCAAUUUGCUUUACAAUUUUAAACCACCUAAGUGUUAAACCCUAAACUUAAAUUAAAAUUGUUAUUAUUAUAUAUCAUAAUCAACAUACUGUUUUCUUUCAUAAAUAUUGAAUUCGUUUUUAUCAAUAUUUAUACGUGGUCAUUGAAUAAGUUAAGACAGUAGGCAUUACUAUUUUAUUUAAUAAUUAAUAUCAAUAUAUAUUAAAUCAUUCUAAAAAAAGUUAUUUCGAUAUUUUUUUUACUUUUAAUCUUGGUAUCCUAAUUUAAUUAGGAUCCAAAACUUACAAAAGAGUUGUCUUGUGUAAUGUCCUCGGAAUGAAAAUACAGAAAAAAAAAACCGAAUCCAUAAUAAUUUAUAUGGACAAACAGAGAAAUGUUUUUUUAUCAGACUUUUGUGGUCCUUAUUCCUUACAUUGUGAUUUAUACAUAUCUACUGUGAUUGCUAUAUGCCAUUUCCCCCCCAAAUUUUUACCAAAAAAAAUAUAUUUUUCUGUUUUCUUAAGUAUUGCUUUGUCGAAUAACUUCUUAUUUAAGUGUAACAGAAAAUUCACAGUUAAUAAAAUAAAAAAUACUGUGCAUCUUAUUUAUUUAUUUUUAUCAAUUUCGAAACGCACAUUAUAUUUAACUUGCUGCUCAUUUUCAUAUAUUUAUUUUAGUUAUGUUGUACAUUAUACAUGUUAGACGUAAAAUCAACAAUCAAAACAUCAAACUAAGUUAAUUCUAUGGUUUAGCUUACUUAAAUGUCAUAAAUAAUUUGCUAAUGUGUUGAUUUAUCAAGCACAACCAUACUUCUAUCUGGUAUCAUCUUAGUUAGAUUUUAAUUAAAGCUAAUUAGUAUAUAUAUGAACGUUUUUUCAAAUCUAAGAUCAAGUUUGAUAAACUGACUUAAUUAGAAAUUACGAGUAAACAAUUUAAUAUCAAGACUUCAUAAGAAAACAACUAAAUUUUUUCUCAGGAUGUAAUGAACUUAUUUUCUAGAAAACUAAUAUUUUUAGAGCUUAAAUUAAUAAUCCGAAAUUAAUGAGAAUUUGAAUAGUGUUUCAGCUUAAUAAUCAUCUAUAGAAAAAACAUAUUUGAAAAAGAAAACUUUGAUUCACCUGCCAUCACCAAUUUUACUAUAUACCCCACCAUUACCUUUUGCCUUAGUAUUAUCUACUUUGACUAAAAUACCCUCCACACAUGAUUAGCAUGACAGGUGUUUUAUAAAUAAGAUUGGUAUAACUAAAUACAUCUCCAAAUAUAAACCUAAUCCUUGAUCAUUAUAUGCAUUAAAUGGUAUAUUGAUUAAGUGGGCCCCACCUCUUUGCAUUAUAUUUCUGCUUCCUUCCUUCUCCUUUGUUUUGUUUUUAGACUCAAUUAUUGACUUAUUGAAUUGAUGGCAAAAAAUAAAAUACUAAAUAUAUAUUUUCCAAAUUCUCUUCCCUAUCUUUCAAUUCAUUUUAUCAUUACCAUCAAAAUCAUAUUACAGUUUUAUGGUAGAAUAAUAUUUAUUAUAUUUUUCUCACACACACACAUGCAAUAUUUUUUCUUUGAUUUCUUAUACGGUUAUACAUGUGAAUUAAAAAAGAUGGAAAUAACGUAAAAAAGACGAUAUAUAAAAUAUAAUUUCAUCAAAUUUCUGAAAGUGUGAAUGAAAUUUAUUUAUAUGAAUUACUGAGUUUGGAGUCCUUUAACUGUGGGUUUCGUCUGACCAAAAUAUUUUUUUUCAGAAACAUUUAUUGGCGUUGAAUGGUAACAUAAUGAGUAAUUCAUUUCUCCCCAGAAAGAAAGAGGAUUUUGUAAACAUUUAUUGUGGUUACUAAUUCUAAGGAUAUUAGUGUCUUUCAAAACAACAAUUAUUUUUGUCUCAUGCAGUAUACACUGAAUGCAGAAGAAUACAAAAUGAACUACAUAACAUAACAGGGGGAAAUGGAGAUAUAAAAGAUAUUAAUACAAUAUUCAACAAUCUUAUCUCAAUAUGAAGUCAUUUUCAAGUGCAAGUGCAACGAUCAAAGAGCUUUGGAAUUUAAAAUUGGAAACAAAAACGCAACGUUCACAUAGCAUACCUCAGCGGUGGCUCCAUAAUUGUAUAUUGUAGGAGCCAAUUUUUUUCAUAUAUCCAAUAGGAAAUAAUCCUUUAUAUCAAUACCAUCUCCAAGUCUCCAUAUUUUAUUAUUAUUAUUUCUUUAUUUUUCAGUAUUUAUAGCGUCACGGAUCAAAUCUGACGCUAAAAAUUGCAUAGACUGAUGGAAGAUUGUCAGAGUAAAAUUGACGUUUAGUCUCAUUAGCUCAUGCUUAAGGCUAGAAGGUUGUAGUGUUAUGAAUCGAGUUUGAUAUUGUGUAUAAACAGAUUGUUCACCAAUAUUCAUAUUUAAGGACAUUAAUAUCGUAUCAGCGUAAAUCAAAUUAUUCUAAAUAAUCAGUUUAAAAUAAGAGACGAUAUUUAUUAUUGAAUUAGGUCAAAAACAAAAGAGAUAGGGUAAAGAUUUUUGUAUAUACCAAAGAAUACAUAAGAAAGAAAGACAGAUUACAUAUUAUCUAAGAGUUCACAUAUUAUUGACUACACCUGAAUGUUCUAAGUUUGAGAUCACCAAUACUCUUAAGUGAAACAGUAUUAAAGAUUUCAUAAUAUAUAAAUGAUUCAUAUCUUAUCUUAUCUUACAUAUCAAUUUUAAAAAAUUAAGAAAAUUAAAUUUAAAGUCCACCUUCUAAUUAAAGAACUAACACAAUAUUUAACUUCAUAUUUCUAAUCAUAAUUACGUUUAAAUACUCCUAAUUAAUAGACUAUUUAUUAAAUGUUUCUUUUGUCUAUAUAUAUAUAUAUGUAUUUUAUAUUAUUUCAUGUUUUCUUACUUUUUCACGUAAUAUUUACCUUCUGUUUAAGAAAAAAGAGAGGAUGUUCUCUUGCUGUGAGAUAAUUACAUCACUGUAUUUAAAUGACAAAAAAAUUACAUCUCCCGAUGAAUAAGGUUAGUAAUAACCUUCAUUACACGAGGGAAGAAGAUUAAAAGCUUUGUGGGUUUUUAAGCAAAAACUAAGAUAAAAGAGAUGGAAUUAUUUUUAUAUGGGUUGAUACCUCUAGUAUUUCCAAUUUCUUCAUUAUUUUUAUUGAUUAAAAAAAUAUGAGAUAAUUAAUCUUAUAUGAGGUUAGUUGCUCGAUAAAAUAAUAUGUUGUUUUCUAAAAGGAAAAAGAAGUAUUUAUUUCGUAAAUUUAAAAUACUCAAUUAAUAUUUGAAUACAGAAUUCUAAAAAUUUAGUUUAUUGAAAAGUUGAUACAGUACUUUAAAAUUCAUGGACCACUUUUUUUUUUCCUUUUCACCAAAAGAUGGUUAAAAAAAGUGAAAAUGGAUGUUUCAGAAAAUAUUUUAGCAAAUUCAUGCUUUUGUUCACUAUUUUUUUUACACAAUUAUAAAUAAUAUAAAAGAUAUUAACAUUACUUUCACUUAGAACGACAACCGAUCCAGACGGAUUCAAGUAGUUGUCCUCUAUUUAUUAUCUUUAAAAUAAAUUGUUUCAUUAUAUGUUUUAUUUUCUAUUUAAAAAUAUUUACAGAUUAUUUUAUAUUUAUAAUAUUUAUAUAUAAUAGACAAUACUUUUUUAUUUUUAAAUAAAAUCAUUUAAAUUUAUUUUUUAAAAUAGGAAUUUAAGUAAAAUUUUGAUAUUAAAACAUGAAUUUAAAUAAAAUUUUGAUAUUAAAAUAUAAUUUAAAUAAAAUUGUAUCAAUAUUAAUGCGAAAUUAAAAAAUCAAUUAAAUUUCAAGAUAUAAAUUUAAAUAAAUUAAUCACUUUAAAAACAACUUUAAUUAUAUAAAUAUAUGUAAAAAAAAAGUUGUAAAUCCAGAAAUUAAACCAUUAUUUAAUUAUUAUUUUUUUCUACAUGAGUAUUUCAGAUCAUGUGUUACCUACUAUGAAGCUCGGACACUCAUCUUAAAUGGCGUGUCGGUAUCCGGUACUCGUAUUGGACACCGACACUCGUAUGACACAUGUAGGACACAUAUUCGUGAAAUGUGCAAUUUAAAAAGUAUUUGUUAGAUUUUUUUCAAUUAUAGUACAGUCCUAACACAAAUUUAAAAAGGAAAAAUACAUUAAUUUUCUAAAAAUUCAAACUAUUCAAAUUUUAUUGUAUAAAUUAUUAUUAUGAUCAUAAAAAUAAGAAACAAAUCCUUGUGAACCAGUCAUGAAAAAAUAUCUUUUUGCUCCAAAAAAUAGUCUAUAACAUACUUGUGCACAUAAAUCAUUAUUGUCAAUUUAUAUAAUUUAUAAUUAUAUAAUAUAUAGAUUCGUGUCAUUGUAUCUUACAUUUUAGAUAUUUUACUUAUAGUGUGCUACCUAGGUUAUCUAUCAUUAACGUAUAUAUAAUUAAAAUAUUAUAUUACUUAUACAUAUAUGAAUAUUUACUAAAAAUACUAAUUUUGUAAUAUAUAUAUUUUUUUAAUGUGAAUAUCGCUAUACACACAUUUUUUUUUCUUAUCUCUCACUCUCGUACUUCUCAUAAAAGAAGAAUUAAUUGUUGUUGAUUCUUUUUUAUAUAUUUAAUUCCAUUAAAUAUAAGAUCUAUAAUACGUACCAAAUAUUUAAUAACAUGUCAACAGAUGUUCACAAAAAAUCUGAAAUCUUCCUAGAUAAUAAAUUUUUUAUUUAACAAGAGUUAGACAUAAACGUAUUCUUUUAUUUUCCAAUUAUUUCCAAUUCAAAAUCAUUUAUCCUUUUUAAAAUUAAUCGCACUCCGCUAUUCUAUUUGCAUAAUUUUAGUCACCCGCAUAUAAAAAAACUUCUGGUCACUCGACAUUCAUCUUCGAGUUACAAAUUAUUUUGUUUUCGAGAUUAUUGAUUACAUUUGAAUGUGUUGAUAUUAGAAAACAAUUAUAUAUGUAGUUGGUAUAUAUGUGAUCAAAGUGUGUGGAAUUUAACAUUAAUAAUUUAACAUUAAUAUAUUUAUUUGAAAUAUAAGAAUUAAGAAAAGGUUUAUUAUUAUUUGAAGCGUAUAGCGAAAGAGAGAAGACAUUGUGAUUACCAAAAUUGUCCUUGGAGUAAUUAGUUUUGUUUAAAUGUAGAAAAGCAAUAAUUGUUGUUAGAAUGAGGCAUGAUGCAGAAUAUCACGGCCAUCGAAACUUUGACGCCAUUUAUUACGGUAGGUCACAAACCCAACACAACUGCCCACCGUUUACUUCUGUUCAUAAAUACCUUCGCCUAAUAAUACCACCUCCUUCAAUUUCCCACUUAAAUUCACUCAUCACGCUUCUAAAUUCAAUUAAACCCUUUUUUUCUUAAUCAAAAACACCAAUUACAAUCACAUUAUUUAAUUUAAACCUUUUCUUUUUCUCAUUUUUCUUUUAUCUGCUAUAUCUGUCAACCAAAAUUUGUCCAAAUUGCAAUUGUCACUGUCACUGUAGGUCCCCAAACCCCACAUGUAGAGUACCACACUUCUAGGCAACAACUUGAAGAUUAAAAUCAAGACCCCAAUGUUUUUCCCCACUAAACAUUUUCUUCUCAAAAGGGUAUUUUGGGUAACUCCGGGAUCUACACACAGUAAAAAUAAAAUAAAAUAAAAGUUAUAGAAGGUGUGAAACCCAGAAGAGAAAGAAGGUGAUGUAAAUAAAAUAUAGAAUAGAUUAGCUUCAAUGAUUAAAGGUCAAUGCAGGAAGCACAUUAGGGCCUGUUUGGUCUUUUCUCAAUGAGUACGCCUAACCGCUACUGAAGUCCAAAAAACACAUCCCAAAAGAAAAAGCAACAAACCUCAUCUUCAUCUUCAUCUCCAUCUUCAUCUUCAUCUUCAUCCCAAGCAAAGAAAAUUAAUAAUAACGCGAAUUUAAGUAAAAAUAUUAUUAAAUAGAAAAAAAAGGAAAAGAAAAAGGGUGACCUACAGGAGCCGGCCUUUAACUAAAUAUAGCUGGACAGACAAAAACCAACAAUUAUCUCCAUCGUCCCUGUGCGCAGCUGUUAAAAAAAUCUAUGCAUUUAUUUAUUAUUUCAUAAAUAAUAAAUAAAUAAAUAAAUACUACCACAUACCUGCAUCUACUUUUCCGUGCCACUUUUCUUAUUACCAUAUCAAAAAGAGCAGAGUCAGGUGAAUUUAUCGGUCGAGAACAAUUAAACAAUAGAAGAAAUGAAAAAUAAAAAGAUUCCGCAGCUCAAAAAGAGAAGAAAAGGAAAGACGUAAAAAGUUAAUUAAUUAAUGAAAAACAGAGAAAAGGGAAAUAUUUAUUAUUCUUAUUGCAGUUAAUUAUUCCUCGUGUUUAUUAUAGAUAUAAUAAAAUAAAUAAACAAAUUAGUUCACCCCGCAAAGAAAGGGAGAGAGAGAGAGGGGGGAUAGCGGUUUGGUAUGUAUGUAUAUACACAUAUACAUAAUAAUGAUAAUAAUAAUAAUAUUAUUAUUAUUACAUAAAAUAAAAAGCCAUCAAAAUUUUGAAAGAAUUCACCACCCUUUUAGCUGUGUUUAUAUUUUUAAUUUUUCUCCUCGUCUCGUGUCAGCUGCUGUAAUUGCUGCGGUGCUGUUUUGGAAAAGAGGGAGAGAGACCCAAAAGAGACUAUGCUUGGGGACUCAGCUGUGCUGGGAGCAGGAGGCGGAAGUGGCGGUGGGGAAGGUGGCGCCUCCGUCGAUGCAGUGGGCGGGGUGACGCAUGAGGGGGCGGUGGUGGCGAGCGGAGGCGGUGGCGGAGUUGGAUCAAAUUCGGGGGACGACGAAAGGGGUAGAAUCGACGAGGGAGAACGUAGCUUCGGUGGUAACCGGUGGCCCCGACAAGAGACUUUGGCGCUGUUAAGGAUACGGAAGGAUAUGGACGUGGCGUUUCGAGAUGCAAGUGUUAAGGGUCCUUUGUGGGAAGAAGUAUCCAGGUGCGUCACUACUCCAACUCAACUCAAUUAUAUUAAUCUUUCGUUUUAUUAUAUAUAUCACCUUUUUCUUCUUUUCUUUUUAGUUUGCAUCUUCUCCUUCAAUUCAUCACUUCACUUCUUCACUUCAAUUCAUGUCAGUUUUUCAGUUCCUGGAUUUUCUUUUUUCUUCAAAAGAGAUUAAUGGGGUGCGGAGAUCUGAGAAUUCAAUUCGCUUUGUUUUUAAGUUUUAUUCUCGGAAAUGUAUUCAGUGUUUCGCUCGCUUCAAUUCCAAUUCCAAAUCCAUCUUUCCUCUCUCUUUCUCUCACUCACUCUCUUUCCAUGGUUUGGAUUUUGCUUCCUUUUCCUGCUUCUUUUGUGUGUUUUUAUUUUGUUUGGGAGUUUGAGCAUAAAAUAAUUAGAAAAGAAUUUAGAUGUGCAGUGUACAUGAUUUGGGUGUGAUUUGCUUUUCUGACAUUCACUUUGGUUCAUGUCCUAUUUUCCAAAUAAGUUACCGACUUGAAUUGAGCUAUGAAAAGCGAGAUUUUUCUUCCCCCUUUAUUUCGCUUACCAACUCCUACGGGAAAUUAAGGAAGAAGAUUAUCUGUCAAAUCUUCUAACUUGGGUUCAUGUGUUUCUCAUGGGAGACAUGUCUGUUCAUCAAUUCAUGCCAUUUUGUUACUCAAAACAUCCAUUACGUCCAACUUUCACACUUUCUUCCAUCUCUCUUUCACUUACUUUCUUUCCCUUCCAUCAUUUCCAAUGCUUCAUUACUUCAUCUCAUUUUUAUUUCAUGUUUAUAUCACGAUCCCAAUGCCUUUUACCCUUUGUCCUUAGCUCAAUUUGAUGAGAUAAGAUAAACCCAGAGAAACUCUACUCUACACUCUCUCUCUUCAUUUUGUCUUCUCUUUCUGCGCAGGAAAAUGGCAGAGCUUGGGUAUCACAGAAGUUCCAAGAAGUGCAAAGAGAAAUUCGAGAACGUGUACAAGUAUCACAAGAGAACCAAAGAAGGUCGAAGUGGGAAACAAGAUGGAAAAACAUAUCGUUUCUUUGAUGAACUACAAGCCCUUGAGAAUCACACUCCAACACCGCAUUCUCCCAACCCAUCACCAAAACCACCACAAUCAGCGCCAUCAAGAGUAAUUGCAACAACAGCUGCAUCAGUGUCACUACCAAUUGCAACAGCAACAGCUUCAUCAUUGUCACUUCCAAUUCCAACAACAAUAACAACAGUGCCAAUGCAGCCAAUACUGUCCAACACCACUCUCACCAGUACUGUCCCCCAUAUCACUGUUCCAUCAACAACAACACUCCCUAUAACCAUACCCCAGCCCAUUCUUACUACCCCAUCAAUACAUCUCUCAAUUCCUUCUAACCCUCCAACAAACCCUACCAUCAACACAACCCCACCACCCUCUUUCCCCACGCUCCCCACCGACACCUUCUCCAAUUCUAGCUCCUCCUCCACCUCCUCCGACGAAACAUUGGAAGGUAGGCGCAAGAGGAAGCGCA
rnacentral:lncRNA from 1 species